GUGCCCCCACCUAUAGGGGGCAUGCCGGGCACCCUCGUGGCCGCCUUGCUUGUUUCUUGACUUCCACUCCAAGUCCUCUGGAUCACGUUUGUUCCAAAAAUAUCGCUCCUGAAGGUUACAUUCCAUUUGGACUCCGUUUGAUAUUCCUUUUCUUCGAAACACUGAAAUAGGCAAAAAAACAGCAAUUCGGGCUGGGCCUCCGGUUAGUAGGUUAGUCCCAAAAAUGAUAUAAAAGUGUAAAGUAAAGCCCAUAAACAUCCAAAACGGGUAAUAUAAUAGCAUGGAACAAUCAAAAAUUAUAGAUACGUUGGAGACGUAUCAGGUACUACCGUGAGCCUUUCUGGUACUACUUCUCCCUUGAGCAGUACUACCGCAUGCCACAACACACUACCACUUGGAGUCAUUCAUUUUGCAAAGACAUGGAUAACUGAUCGAUGCUCCAAACAUGCAAGGGAAAGGUGGUGCAAAGGAACAGACGUGUACGUGAUGAUUCCACCCUAACCUUUCCGAAGCGGACCCCCUCUCAAUAGUACGACUUCCUUACGACUCAAAUCCACCAAAGGGAAACAUAGAGAAACGUCAUAUUCACUAGGCUCCGAGGGGCAUCGAAUCGUCUUGUGCCAAAACAUGAGAUAUCUGAAAUUCUCAAUGUUGGGGAAUGUAGUAAUUUCAAAAAAUUUCCUACGCACACACAGGAUCGUGGUGAUGCAUAGCAACGAGAGGGGAGAGUGUGUCCAUGUACCCUCCUAGAACGAAAGCGGAAGCGUUAGCAAUACGCGGUUGAUGUAGUCGUACGUCUUCACUAUCCGACCAAUCCAAGUACCGAACGUACGACACUUCCGAGUUCAGCACACGUUCAGCUUGAUGACGUCCCACGAACUCCAAUCUAGUAGAGCUUUGCAGGAGAGUUCCAUCAGCACAAUGGCGUGAUGACGGUGUUGAUGAUUCUACCGACGCAGGGCUUCGCCUAAGCACCGCUACGAUAUUACCGAGGUGGAAUAUGGUGAAGGGGGGCACCGCACACGGCUAAGAGAUCAAUGAUCAAUUGUUGGGUCUAAAGGUGUCCCCUGCCCCCAUAUAUAAAGGAGCAAGGGGGAGGUCGGACGGCCCUGUAGGGCGCGCCAGGAGGAGGAGUCCUCCUAGUGGGAGUAGGACUCCCCUCUUCCUAGUCCCACUAGGAGGGGAAGGAAGGAGAGGGGGAGGAGAAGCAAAGAGGGGGUGCAGACCCUCCCCUAGUCCAAUUCGGACUAGGCCCAUGGGGGGCGCGCGGCCAGCCCUCGUGGCUUCUCCUCUUUUUCCCCUAAAGCCCACUAAGGCCCAUAUGUACUCCUGUAUUCCCGUAACUCCACCGGUCAUCCGAAAAAUACCUGAAUCACUCGGAACCUUUCCGAUGUCCGAAUAUAGUCGUCCAAUAUAUCGAUCUUUAUGUCUCGACCAUUUCGAGACUCCUCGUCAUAUCCUCAUUCUCAUCCGGGACUCUGAACUACCUUCGAUACAUCAAAACACAUAAACUCAUAAUAUAAAUCGUCACCGAACGUUAAGCGUGCAGACCCUACGGGUUCGAGAACUAUGUAGACAUGACCAAGACAUGUCUCCGGUAAAUAACCAAUAGCGGAACCUGGAUGCUCAUAUUGGAUCCCACAUAUUCUACGAAGAUCUUUAUUGGUCAAACCGCAUAACAACAUACGUUUGUUCCCUUUGUCAUCGGUAUGUUACUUGCCCGAGAUUCGAUCGUCGGUAUCUCAAUACCUAGUUCAAUCUCGUUACUGGCAAGUCUCUUUACUCGUUACGUAAUGCAUCAUCCCGCAACUAACCUAUUAGCUACAUUGCUUGCAAGGUUUAUAGUGAUGUGCAUUACCGAGAGGGCCCAGAGAUACCUCUCCGACAAUCGGAGUGACAAAUCGUAAUCUCAAAAUAUGUCAACUCAACAUGUACCUUUGGAGACACCUGUAGAGCUCCUUUAUAAUCACCCAGUUACGUUGUGACGUUUGGUAGCACACAAAGUGUUCCUCCGGUAAACGGGAGUUGCAUAAUCUCAUAGUUAUAGGAACGUGUAUAAGUCAAGAAGAAAGCAAUAGCAACAUACAAAACGAUCAAGUGCUAAGCUAACGGAAUGGGUCAAGUCAAUCACAUCAUUCUCUAAUGAUGUGAUCUCGUUAAUCAAAUGACAACUCAUGUCUAUGUCUAGGAAACUUAACCAUCUUUGAUUCAACGAGCUAGUCAAGUAGAGGCAUACUAGUGACACUAUGUUUGUCUAUGUAUUCACACAUGUACUAAGUUUCCGGUUAAUACAAUUCUAGCAUGAAUAAUAAACAUUUAUCAUGAAAUAAGGAAAUAAAUAAUAACUUUAUUAUUGCCUCUAGGGCAUAUUUCCUUCAGUCUCCCACUUGCACUAGAGUCAAUAAUCUAGUUCACAUCACCAUGUGAUUUAACACCAAUAUUCACAUCUGUAUGUGAUUAAUACCCAUAGUUUUACAUCAUCAUGUGAUCAACACCCAAAGGGUUUACUAGAGUCAAUAAUGUAGUUCACAUCGCUAUGUGAUUAACACCCAAAGAGUACUAAGGCAUGAUCAUGUUUUGCUCGUGAGAGAAGUUUAGUCAACGGGUCUGUCACAUUCAGAGCCGUAUGUAUUUUGCAAAUAUUCUAUGUCUACAAUGCUCUGCAUGGAGCUACUCUAGCGAAUUGCUUCCACUUUCAAUAUGUAUCCAGAUUGAGACUUAGAGUCAUCUGGAUUAGUGUAAAAGCUUGUAUCGAUGUAACUCUUUACGACGAACUCUUUUAUCACCUCCAUAAUCGAGAAACAUCUCCUUAGUCCUCACUAAGGAUAUUAUUGAUUGUUGUCUAGUGAUCUACUCUUAGAUCAAAAUUGUACUCCCUUGCCAAACUUAGAGCAAGGUAUACAAUAGGUCUGGUACACAGCAUAGCAUACUUUAUAGAACCUAUGACUGAGGCUAGGGAAUGACUUUUCAUUCUCUUUCUAUUUUCUGCUAUGGUCGGGUUUUGAGUCUUACUCAACUUCACACCUUGCAACACAGGUAAAAACUCCUUCUUUGACUUUUCCAUUUUGAAUUACUUCAAAAUCUUAUCAAGGUAUGUACUCAUUGAAAAAUCUUAUCAAGCGUCUUCAUCUAUCUCUAUAGAUCUUGAUGCUCAAUGUGUAAGCAGCUUCACUGAGGUCUUUCUUUGAAAAACUCCUUUCAAAUACUCCUUUAUGCUUUCCAGAAAAUUCUACAUUAUUUCUGAGGAACAAUAUGUCAUUCACAUAUUCUUAUCAGAAAGGUUGUAGUGCUCCCACUCACUUUCCUGUAAAUACAGGCUUCACCGCAAGUCUGUAUAAAACUAUAUGCUUUGAUCAACUCAUCAAAGCGUAUAUUCCAACUCCUAGAUGCUUGCACCAGUCCAUAGAUGGAUCGCUGGAGCUUGCACAUUUUGUUAGCACCUUUAGGAUCGACAAAAUCUUCUGGUUGCAUCAUAUACAACUCUUCUUUAAGAAAUCCAUUAAGGAAUGUAGUUUUGACAUCCAUUUGCCGGAUUUCAUAAAAUGUGGCAAUUUGCUAACAUGAUUCGGACAGACUUAAGCAUUGCUGCGAGUGAGAAAAUCUCAUCAUAGUCAACACCUUGAACUUUGUCCAAAACCUUUUUCGACAAUUCGAGCUUUGUAGAUAGUAACACUACUAUCAGCGUCUGUCUUCCUCUUGAAGAUCCAUUUAUUUUCUAUGGCUUGCCAAUCAUCGGGCAAGUCAACCAAAGUCCACACUUUGUUCUCAUACAUGGAUCCAAUCUCAGAUUUCAUGGCCUCAAGCCAUUUCGUGGAAUCUGGGCUCAUCAUCGCUUCCUCAUAGUUCAUAGGUUCAUCAUGGUCUAGUAACAUGACUUCUAGAAUAGGAUUACCAUACCACACUGGUGCAUACCGUACUCUGGAAGACCUACAUGGUUCUGUAGUAACUUGAUCUGAAGUUUCAUGAUCAUCAUCAUUAGCUUCCUCACUCAUUGGUGUAGGAAUCACUGGAACUGAUUUCUGUGAUGAACUACUUUCUAAUUCGGGAGAAGGUACAGUUACCUCAUCAAGUUCCACUUUCCUCCCACUCACUUCUUUCGAGAGAAACUCCUUCUCUAUAAAGGAUCCAUCUUAGCAACGAAUAUUUUGCCUUCGGAUCUGUGAUAGAAGGUGUACCCAACAGUUUCCUUGGGUAUUCUAUGAAGACGCACUUCUCCGAUUUGGGUUCGAGCUUAUCAGGUUGAAAUUUUUUCACAUAAGCAUCGCAUCCCCAAACUUUAAGAAACGACAACUUUGGAUUCUUGCCAAACCACAGUUCAUAAGCCGUCGUCUCAAUGGAUUUUGAUGGUGCCCUAUUUAAAGUGAAUGUAGCUGUCUCUAAUGUAUAACCCCCAAAACGAUAGUGAUAAAUCGGUAAGAUACAUCAUAGAUCGCACCAUAUCCAAUAAAGUGCGGUUACGACGUUUCAGACACACCAUUAGUCCAUUACACUUUGGUGUUCCAUGUGGCGUGAGCUGUGAAACUAUUCCACAUUGUUUUUAAGUGAAGGCCAAACUCAUAACUCAAAUAUUCUCCUCCACGAUCAGAUUGUAGAAACUUUAUUUUAUUGUUACGAUGAUUCUCCACUUCACUAUGAAAUUCUUUGAACUUUUCAAAUGUUUCAUACUUGUGCUUCAUUAAGUAGAUAUACUUAUAUCUGCUCAAAUCAUCUGUGAAGGUCAGAAAAUAAUGAUACCUGCCACGAGCAUCAACACUCAUUGGACCGCAUACAUCGGUAUGUAUUAUUUCCAACAAGUCAGUAUCUCGUUCCAUUGUUCCAGAGAACGGAGUUUUAGUCAUCUUGCCUAAAAGGCACGGUUCGCAAGCAUCAAAUGAUUCAUAACCAAGUGAUUCCAAAAGUCCAUCUUAAUGGAGUUUCUUCAUGCGCUUUACAUCGAUAUGACCCAAACGGCAGUGCCACAAAUAAGUUGCAUUAUCAUUAUCAACUUUGCAUCUUUUGACAUCAAUAUUAUGAAUAUGUGUAUCACUACGAUCGAGAUCCAACAAACUAUUUUAAUUGGGUGUAUGACCAUCGAAGGUUUUAUUCAUGUAAACAGAACAACAAUUAUUCUUUGACUUUAAAUGAAUAACCGUAUUGCAAUAAACAUGAUCAAAUCAUAUUUAUGCUCAACGCAAAUGCCAAUAAACAUUUAUUUAGGUUUAACACUAAUCCUGAAAGUAUAGGAAGUGUGCGAUGAUGAUCAUAUCAAUCUUGGAACCACUUCCAACACACAUCGUCACUUCACCCUCAACUAGUCUCUGUUUAUUCUGUAACUCAUGUUUCGAGUUACUAAUUUUUAGCAACCGAACAAGUAUCAAAUACCCAGGGCCUACUAUAAACACUAGUAAGGUACACAUCAAUAACCUGUAUAUCAAAUAUACCCUUGUUCACUUUGCCAUCCUACUUAUCCACCAAAUAUUCAGGGUAUUUCCGCUUCCAGUGACCAUUUCCUUUGCAGUAGAAGCACUCAGUUUCAGGCUUUGGUCCAGCUUUGGGCUUCUUCACGAGAGUGACAACUUGCUUGCCAUCCUACUUGAAGUUUCCCUUUCUUUCCCUUUGCCCUUUUCUUGAAACUAGUGAUCUUGUCAAUCAUCAACACUUGAUGUUCUUUCUUGAUUUCUACCCUUGUCGAUUUUAGCAUCACGAAGAGCUUAGGGGUCAUUUUCGUCAUCCCUUGCAUACUAUAGUUCAUCAUGAAGUUCGACUAACUUGGUGAUGGUGACUAGAGAACUCUGUCACACUACAAAAAAAAGACACAUCCGUGACAUUUUGGGCCGAACGAAUUUUUUUUCUAUCAUACAUAUGACACUUCUAUGACGAUAAUUCUGACAAAACCCGGUAUCAUCAUAGAUGUGGUGGGCUCCUACUUCUAUGACAAAAAAUCAUGACAGAAAAUGGGCUUUUCAUCCUGGGCGGGCCGGAGACGCAGCUGCAAGACAUUCUUUGGGCCGUCCAUGACGGGAAAAACCGUGGUAGAAGCGAGGGGGGAUUUUGGGGAGUUGCCGGUUACGGUGGGAGGUCGGGGGCCGAGCGAUGCGCAUUUCUCUCGUACACGUACGCGCGUGUGUGCGAGGCAUUGGCUCUAACUAAACCUGAGCGAGGCGUUAGGCUCUAACUGAACCCGAGCGAUUGAACUGCAGCCUACGUGUUACUGAACCCGAGCGAUCGAUCGAUGGCUGUUAACUGAACCCGAUCGAGCGAUUCCUUCGCUACUGCUGCUAACUUAAGCCGAUCGAUUGGAUGAACAGUGAGCAUUGCGGGGGGUGGAUGAACAGUGAGCGGUGGCGUUGCCUCUGGAUGAAUAGGACCCCGUGGUGUGGAGGGCUGGAUGAACAGUAGACGGUGGAGGGGUGCCCGUGGAGGGGUGGUUGAACAGGACCCCGUGGUGUGGAGGGCUGGAUGAACAGUAGACGGUGGAGGGGUGGUUGAACAGUAGUCGGUGGAGUAGCGCGCGGUGGGGGCUGGAUGAACAGGAGCCCGUGGAGGCUGGAGGAGGUCGACGGUAGCCCGUGGAGGCUGGAGGAGGUCGACGGUGGAGAUGAACAGUAUGCCGUGGAGUCCCGUUUUGUGGUACGCNNNNNNNNNNNNNNNNNNNNNNNNNNNNNNNNNNNNNNNNNNNNNNNNNNNNNNNNNNNNNNNNNNNNNNNNNNNNNNNNNNNNNNNNNNNNNNNNNNNNNNNNNNNNNNNNNNNNNNNNNNNNNNNNNNNNNNNNNNNNNNNNNNNNNNNNNNNNNNNNNNNNNNNNNNNNNNNNNNNNNNNNNNNNNNNNNNNNNNNNNNNNNNNNNNNNNNNNNNNNNNNNNNNNNNNNNNNNNNNNNNNNNNNNNNNNNNAACAGGACCCCCGUUUCGACCUUAGGAGGUCUGUUUCGUCCGUUUUGCGGUAUGCCACACCCCUCCCGAUCAACAGGACCCCCGUUUCGACUGUAGGAGGUCCGUUUCCUCCGUUUUGUGGUACACCAGACCCCUCCCGAUCAACAGGACCCCGUUCCGAACGUAGGAGGUCCGUUUCCUUCGUUCUGCGGUACGCCAGGCCUCGUUUCCAUCGCCUGUUCCGUCCAAGCCCUCCCGAUGAACACGGCCACGCAUUCCGUUCCGACCCAGCCGGUUGGCUCCCACGCGUUCUGUCGCCUCCCGAUGAACACGACGCAUUCCGUUGCCUCCCCAUGAACACGAGGCAUUCUGUUGCCUCCCCAUGAACACGACGCAUUCUGUUGCCUCCCCAUGAACACGAGCCCUGGCCGUACAUAUGCGCGAGUAGGCGUUUGAGACCCUGCCUGUAUGUACGUACGUGGCCGUAUUUUCUUUCUUGCACCCUGGCCACUAUACAUACAUGUACAUGCUACGUGCACGCCUCUACUACGACACAUGCACGCCUCUACAUCCACCAGUAUAUAUGUACGUACACGUUCGCGACCAGAAUGACAACACUACAUACGCUUCGACCAGGUGGGUCCCGACUGUCAGGCGCUUCCUUGCCUGUGAAGAUGUAGCUAGUGGGUCCCAGAAGUCAGGGGGGCGAAUCUUUUUUUUGCCCGGACGCACUUCCAUGCAUGCGACGAUGUAGCUGGUGGGUCCCAGCAGUCAGGGGGGCGAAUUGUUUUUUUUUACCGGACGCACUUCCUUGUGUGCGAAGGUGUAGCUGGUGGGUCCCAGCAGUCAGGGGGGAAACAUUUUUUUCGCGAAAUAUAGUGGCCUGUCCGGUGGGUCCCUGCUGUCAGGUGGAGGAAUCAUUAUUUUCCACGUAAUAAGGAGGCACUUCCUUGCUGCGGCCGUCGACCCAGCUGUCAGCCUCUCCACGUAUAGUCCACGUCCGAUGGAAGUCGUUCCUUGACCACGUUGACCACGCCGCACCGAGAGCACCAGGGCGGUGGACGACGGCGAGGCCUAGGAAGGGGACGACACGGAGCCGGUGAAGACGCGACAGUGGAUACCCAAGCGGAGAGGAGUAUGAGGGUUCACUCGUUCGACUGCAGUGUGAGGCUGCCAUCACCGCAGGGCCUGGCCAGCGGUGGGGAUAAUAGGGGGCGGUGAGGCCUCCGCAGCAGCACAGCCGGCCACGGGAGGCAGGAGUAGGCGGCACGACCGGCGCUGCUUUGGGUGACUGGAGCAAGAAGACCAGAGGUUGAAGAAGCACUAUGGCCGUUGGAUGGACAUCGUACGGUCAUUGGAGCUAGAAUUGUUCAUAUUGACUAAGUUGACAAAGCCCUCCGUCCCUGUCAACUUAGUAGGCCCACAGGUCAGCCUCCCACCAAGGUGGGUCCCAGCUAGCAGGGGGAGUAUUCAUUUAUUUUGUGCGUAAUAAGGAGGCACUUCCGGUGGGUCCGAGCUGACAGCGGGGGGAACGUUUUUUCACGAAAUACGGUGGCCCGUCCGGUGGGUCCCAGCAGUCAGGGGGGAAAUGUUUUUUUUGUCAAAUAAGGUGGCCCGUCCGGUGGGUGCCUGCUGUCAGGUGGAGGAAUAAUUAUUUUGCGCGUAAUAAGUAGGCACUUCCUUGCGGAUGCCGUGGACCCAGCUGUCAGCCUCUCCAUGUACAGUACUCUUCCGAUGGAAGUCAGUCAUUGACCACGUUGACCACGCCGCACCGAGAGCACCAGGGUGGUGGAUGACGACGAGGCCUAGGAAGGGGACGAUGCGGAGCCAGGGAAGACACAACAGUGGAAGCCCGCACGGAGAGGAGUACGAGGGUUCACUAGUUCGGCUGCGGUGUGAGGCUGCCGUCGCCGCAGAAUAACAGGGGGUGUGGGUGAGUGGAGGGAUGGCCUAGCCAGCAGUGUGAGUAGUAUGGGGGCGGUGAGGCCUCCACAGCAGCACAGCCGGCCACGGGAGGCAGGAGCAGCCGGCACGACCGGCGCUGCUUUGGGCGGCUGGACCAAGAAGACCAGAGGUUGAAGAAGCACUACGGCCGUUGGAUGGACAUCGUACGGUCACUGAAGCUAGAAUCGUUUAUUAUUGACUAAGUUGACAAAGCCCUUGGUACGCUCCAACUUAGUAGGCCCACAGGUCAGCCUCUGAAAUGGUGCGCCCCAGAUGUCAGGGGGAGGAAUCAUUUUUUGGACGGCCGAAGCUAAGAAUAUCUGAGAUUGAAGAAGAAGCACGACAUCCAUUGGAUAGACAUCCAACGGCCACUGCUGCUAGAACCGUGUGUUGACUAUAAUAAGUUGACAAAGCCUUGCAUAAGCGUCAACUUAUUUUUUUAGGGGACGCGUCACUUAGUAGGCCCAUAAGUGUGUGGCAGAGAACUUAUAGCCCAUUUGCGUUUUGUAAGAAUGUACAACCCAUUUUUGAAUUCUAAUGGAAUUUACAACAGCCCAUUUACAGUUUGUUAAAAGUACAUCCCAUUUUCUAGCUAGGACAAUGAUUAAUAAUUUCAACCAACCGUUGAAGACAGAAUUCAAUAAAAUUUCCCACAUUUUGAUGGGAUCCGAAAUAUUUUUAUCCCGAAAUUUCUAGUCAGAUUAAAUAUAAAUUUGUAUUACGUAAAAAACCAACGAAACAUUGCGCGCGCAACAAUGAAAAUUUAAGAUUUUCAAAAUCCAUAAAUAAUAUUUUAUAAACUAAUUUUGUGUUUGGUGCAUUUUUUAUAGUUACUGCCCAGUUUUUAUAAUUACAUCCCAUUUAUUAAUUUUUAAAGCCUAUUUUCCUAUUAAGCCUAAUGCAUUCCUCCUAGGAAAGAUUUGCAGCCCAGCGGGGCGGAGAAUAACAAGUUGACCUUGCAUGGGUAUUCCUCAAAAAGACGUAUAGCUGGGCUAGCCAUUUUCAUCUUGAAAAAAUUAGUAUCUGGGCUGGAUAUCUGGCCUGGGCUAAACGGGCCACAGCCCGCCCAGUUAAUACCCUGCUCUCCUCUGAACAACAACAAAAUCAUCGCCAAGAAAAACUCUGCAGUGCUCACGCCUCAAAAACACAAAUACUGCUCGACCUGCUUGGUCCCAGCUGUCGGCCGCACCUUGUGCAAUUCUCUCGUUUAUAUUGACUACAUAUGUUGACAAUGGUGUGGGGCCGUGAUGUCAGGAAACCAGGAGAAAGCAAAAAAAUAUAGUUGUACAUAAUAAAGAGGCACUUGCGUACAUACGGCUAUGGCCCUAGUGGGUCCCUAGUGUCAUCCAGUCAAAAUAAAGUCAUCUCCUGAAUCCUCAUGUUCGUUGACGAUGUUAACAAUGCUCGGCGCCAUGGCGAGCGCAACAACUCGAAGGACAACGAAGAGGGCCUCGCGGGCCCUAUGGAUGGUCUGAUACAGCGCCCGCUGCUCAUUCAGGAAGCCAGGAUCAUCAGACACCUAUGAGCACCUUCGAGAAACUAAGACGGCAUGAAACGGUAAGGCCGCGCUUGGUAGCUCUGGUUUAUUUCAAACCUGUAUUAACAUACACAAGUGUAAUUUACUCGUCAUUGGAAACAACGUGUAAAAUACAGGCGUAAUGAAACCGAGGGCCCGAGGUCUGUAAGUAAAACCGGCGGGUUACGCGUGUAAUUUGAGAGACCAGUGUAUAUUUUACGAGCACUGCUAUAUGGACGACAUUACCAGACGAUACAUGCAUGACGUGCAUAUCAUGCCAUCCAUAGGAAAGGCUGAAACAGCAGCUAACGGCUGGAUUAGCAAUCGUCCGAGUGUCGUUCAGCGUUUUUAUCGUGUGUGAAGUACUUCCGAUAUUUAUAGUCGAAAUCGGCCAACAUAGCGCCUUCGCCCGAGACCAUCUGCUUUAAUUUACAAGCGUCAGUUUUACAAGCAAUUUUGGUUGGAAAACGAUGAUCCAAUCACGGCCUAAUAUCAUGAGUUGGUCGGAAGAUCAUAUGGUUUCACGUCUAACCUACCCGACUUGUCGUAUAGGCUAUGAAUGAAAUAUCAGACGAUGAACUUCUUAAGCACGGAAACAACAGAAGAGGAUGAUCUUCUUAACAAGUAAAUCAUUGGCAUUAGAUCGACAUGCAAAACAAUACGAAGCAUUAUUCUUAGGAGGCACGGUGAACAGCUCGUGAUGCCGCAUGCCACAACAUUCCAAGCUCAACUUUGCAAUCAAACUCAAUAUUCAGAACAAACUCUUAACACAGGAAUAUCUCAGCAGAGUAACUAUUUACUUCUAAACUGAACACGGGAAUAGGAAAAAACACUCGAUGUUGCUCACAACAAGGGCGUCCCACUCAAAAAUAUCAAAUGCAUGUCUUCUGGCUAACAUCAAUGAGCAAAUUUUGACAAGGUUUUCCAAUUCCAAUAUAUUAAACUAACGUCUUCUUGCUAACAUUAAUGAUUAAACUUUGACAAGCUUUUCCCAUUCAAAAUAUGUAAUGCCUAUGAUCGUGGAGUCCUGUCGUAGCUUCUUAAAUUGCCAAUGGUCUCUAUAGACUAGUCAUGUCACCGGUGUCUAAUAAUACUCUGUAAAGCUUCUCGGUCAUUCCUUCUGUAAUGUAGCGCAAACAGUGACUGCUUCUUUCUGCAAAGUGGAACGACCAACUGGACCCAGUAAAGCAGCAGUUUGCCUUGGACACAUUGGCUCCUUUUGUGCAAUUCAACUAAAAGCGAAGUCGGAAUAAAACCGAGCUUUAAUUUUGAUAUCCCUGUAAGCAACAAUAGGUAUAAGGGAAACAAUUACUGAGAAAUAACAGUUGAUGACUUGUACUCCCAGAAGAAAAGCAUCUACUGAUCUACUUUAUCUUAAUGGGAAAGAAAGCAAGAGAGUAGCAAUUCUCCAUCAGUGUGAUUCAUUCAUAUUGACUGAGACAUUAUCUUAACAAUGCCUUGUUUCAACAUGUAUAAAGAACGACAAAGUAGAAAAGUACCAUUCCUAAAACAAUGCAACUGAUUCAUUUUAAUAGAGACAUUAUCUGAACAAUACCUUGGUUAAACAUGUAGAAAGAACUACAAAGCAGGAUAGUACCAUUCCUAACAAGUGUUGCAGUUUUGAACUAAGAUUCAGUAGUUAAUUAAUUCUGAGAGUGGCAUUGCUUAAUUUUACCAGCGGCAUUAGAUUAACAAAAAGCAUAAAUAGUUCCAAGGGAGAGUGGGUGCAACAACAGUAUGUGCUUCCAUCUACUUAUAAAGGGGGUGAUGCAGAGUUUGUUGUAACAAAGCAACAAGCAUCAUGUCUGGGUUGGUCCCAUUUUUGUUCACUACUUAAUGGGAAAAGACAGCAAUACAAUAGCUUCAAUUCAACAUUUAUUUAAAAUAGUACCAAUACAAGUAGCACAACAUCUCAAAGCACACUACACAAUCAUGUGGAUGAAGGCCUGUACUGACCUUUCAUGAGACGGACAAGAUAAAAUACGAAUCUGCCAACACAAAUAGGAAAUCCAAUCUCGUUUUGUGCAGUUACACUGAAAUCAAGCAAAGUGUUUCGUGUAGCGAAGCAAAACGUCGCAAUAGCAACAAGUUGAAUAGAUAUCCCUGUUUAAACAGAGGCAAAAAAGGAAACAAUUACUGGCUAAUAAAGGAGGAUGAAACAUGCGGCCACAAAAAUGGUAAUCCCGCCAAGUGUUGCAGUUUUGAAAUAAGAUUCAGUAGUUAAUUCUGAGAGUGGCAUCAAUUAGUGGCUUAUAAAGGGGUGAUGUUGAAUUUGUUGUAACAAAGCAACAAGCAUCAUGUCUGGGUUGGUCCCAUUUUUGUUCAGUACUUAAUGGGAAAAGACAGCAAUACAAUAGCUUUAAUUCAACAUUUAUUUAAAACAGUACCAAAACAAGUACAACAUCUCAAAGCACAAUGCACAUCAUGUGGAUGAGACCAAGAUUUGAAACAACUCGCCACAGAUACUGGAAAAAAAUCUCAAUCUCCUUUUGUGCAGUUCCACCAAAAUUAAGCAAAGUCACCGGUGUGACAUUCAAGUUGAACUGCACAAAACACUCUUAAAACAUAAGUGUUUCGAGUAGCGAAGCAAAAUGUCGCAAUAGCAACAAGUUGAAUCGAUACCCCUGUUUUAACAGAGGCAAAAAGGGAAACAAUUACUUGCCGAUAAAGGAGGAUGAAACAAACGGUGACAGAAAAAAGCAUCUAACUUAUCUUGGAUGGAAAACAAAGUAGGAUAGUAGCAUAUCUAAAACGGUUGCAUUGAUUCAUAUUAACGGAGACAUUCUCUUGAAACAACAUUCGUUAAAAAAUGUAAUAUACUUUUAACAGUGGCAUUGCUUCAAUUUUCCUGCGGCAUUCUUAGAUUAACAACAACAAAAUAGCUGUAUGGGACAUGCCAGUACCAUGUGCCGUCCACACGUAUAAAUGGGUGAUGUAGAGUAUGUAGCCAAGCAGCAUAUAUGCGUUGGUCCCAUAUUUGUUCUCUUUGAACCUUUUUCCUAUGUGAGGGCAGCAAAUCUAGUCCUGCACAAACUACCCGACCCCCCAGUUUCUUUCCCUUUUCAACAAAGAGAUCGGUUCCUUACAGAUGUGUGUACUGGGUUACCCCCUUUUUCCCUUUUUGACCUACAAAUGGCUGCAUAGCCAGUCUAUACUACUUUCUGCCCCUCCUUUCCUCAUUGAACCACGUCCUAGAUUCUUGCUCCAGCCCACCGCACCCUUCUUUCCUCUUUGGACCAAGACCUAGAUUCGAUUACAGAUCAAAAAAGAUCCACAUGCAGCUAGAGCAACGACGGUUUCAAAGAAACUUAUACCUUAGGGUCGUCGGGAUGUGGCAAGGCGUGCGGCGGGAGGCCGGAUCUGCCCACACUACGUACAACAGUGAGGAAUAAGGGGUCGGUGGCCCUCCCGCACAGGCGCUGGGUGAAAGAGAACAAUAGCCGGCAGUGGAUUGCCUCCCUCGCCGAAGGCGAUAGAGUGAAUGCUGCACCUCCUCCCCUUCCCGGUGCGACGGGAUGCGGACGCCUCCUUCACCAGCUGUGAGGGGGGGGGAGAGAGACAAGAGGCCAACACAAUCUUGUUUAGAUCUGGUGAAGAGAGGGUGAGAGACUGUGAAUAUAGCAAACCCUAGCAAAUGAACACUGAGCCUCCAGCGUGUAACAUAUAUGUAGUGUGGCGAGCGUGUGGAGAGUGCAAACCCUAGCGAACAAGCGCUGAGGCUCCCGCUUAUAUAUAUACUACUACUGUAGUACGGACUGAUCUCUUCAUGGUCGCACUUCCUGUCCUUCACGUGUGGUACACUACCCUCCCUUAAGUGAACAACCACACAUGCGCCAAAUAAUCAGAAACGUGUGAGAGUGUGUACAAAUAAAGAAUUUUAAUUUCAAUUAUCGAAAAGGUUUGAGAGUAUUACAAAGUUUGACUUCAGUCAAAUCUAAUAUGCGUAGUAAAUGAAAAUGGAGGGCUACUACGUCCAUUCGGGUUUUUAGUCCACACCAUUUUUUAAAUCAAAGUUAAUAGCUGGACAAAUAAAAUUACAGGGGAGCUGGAGACAAAGUUGUGAGAAGGCUUAGAAAUCAAUACAAAACUUAUGCUCUUAGUACCAACAUCGAUCCUUCUUCGAGGAAACAUUUGAUUCAUAGCCAAUUGUGUGAUAAAAUUGCACCAACGUGAAAGACGACUGCGUCUCCAACGCAACCAAGGUGAACUGACGAAGGAUAUCAUCUUUGUGUGUAACAAGCAAAGAGCACUGAUGGAAGACAACUUGUUUUUCAUUGAAACCGAUCAGCUUCACCAGCCGACGCAACCAUGAGGCGCAGCCAUGAGCAUCUAUAGGUCAUCGUGGUGAUGCAUCAUCCAUUUGGCAUCAAGUUUGGGUGGGGCACCUAUGAAGUUCGAAAAAUCCUCACGGUGGUCUGUUUCUUCUCAGUAAUCAAGUUCGAGGAAGGAAGAACCACGUGGCAGAGGACAGUGAGGCGGAACAACAAUGGACAUCCAAUUUUGUGCAGUUCAACUAAAAUUGAGGAAGACAUGCCCGGGUAUGGAGACACGGGAUUCGGCCGGAUUUGUGACCACCGGUGAGGAGAGAGAUAGAGUGGACAUUUCCAUCUUGUUUUGAUAUGGAGAGGGUGAGAGAGCGAGACGCGAGAAACUCUAUCAAACAAGAGGCUAUAAUGGAGUAAAAAAAUCUCUCCAUAGCAGUGGUUUUAAAUAGAAUGCGCGCGUUCCCAGAAAAAAGAAACGAAAACUGGCGGACAAUUUUUUAAGGGUCUGUCUAGGACACAUCUAGAUGUGACAUAGUUAUGUCACAUCUAAGUUGAUGUCCACUCUGUUUGUGGUCUAUUUUUUUGUCCUAGUUUUUUUGUUUCUUGUUGUUACAUUAUAUACUGGUGGGAGCUUAGAUGUGAUAUCCUUAAAUAACAUCUAGAUGUGAAUUAGACAAACUGAUUUUCUAAUAUACCAAGAAAGAAAACUCGAUCAAAACACGCCCCCGCUUCUAGGUCGCGUCGCGCACACACACAUAGACAUAGACAUGCAUAUCCGUGUUUACAUAAAAUUCCAUUUCCAUCUCCAUCUCCAAUCAUAUUUGUCCAACUGGCACAUUAUUUACGUUGUUAAUUAUAUACGCAGCAAUAUUAACGUACAACAUCUCUUGUUUGCGCAUGUCCGGACCGCUGCCACGGUCGGUCCUGACCAACCCGAACCCUCUUCAUCACCUGCGCGUGCUUCCCGCCCGAAACGGUCAGUGCCGCAUUCAUGCCCGGCCAGACCGGACGCGACCUCUCACUGGCACCGGCAUUGAAGUGGCGCCCCGGCCGAGAGAGCGUCUCUCGCGCCACUUCCGGGUGCACGCGGCUGCUCCACUUUCAAAGGUCGCAAUAGCCGGCUACAACAUGCAUGUAAAAAGUUCUUGGAGUCCGUGCUACAGCUAGCUGUCCUCCCCCAACUCGUCAAUCUCUUCCAGUAGUGCUAGUACUCCAUGGCGCGGUCCAUCGACAAGCAGGCAGGAAAGUUAUCGUAUACUACUCGGUUUGUGGUGAGUGGCAUGCCGAGCGACCGUGUGGGGUCGAUCCGUGGAGGAGGGUGAGACACGAACACGACAGACGUGAUUUAAACAUUGGUUUUGCUCGAUGGCGCGAUCCAACGAAACGAAACAUUGGUUUCUCUCCAUUUCCAUUUUUUCUCCGGAAAAACGGAAACUUUCCACUCCAUUUUCAUUCCUAUUCUAAGGUUGCCCCAUUACAACAUUACAUCAAAUACAAAGGAAAACUAACACGCAUGUUGAUGCAUCUCAAUGAUUCACAGAUCAUAGCCAAUAUUUACUUCAUAACUAAAGAAAAAAGUUGUGAGAGCGUGUACGAAAGAAAAACUACUGAUGGGGUCACUACGACUUAAACCCUAAACCCUAAACAUUAUUUAAUUUCCUGGCUAGGUAGAACCUGUCGAAGGAAAGACGGCUGGCACCCUCGGAUCAUACGAUGCUUUUGUGCAGUUCCACUAAAAUCGACCUGAGCAUCCCUGAUGGCAAAGAUAUUUAAGAAGUGUGACUAGAAUAAUAGUGCUGGCACUAGUUCAUGAGACAUAAACUCAUCACAAGUAGAAGCCAAUAGAAGUAGAGAAAGAUCGACAUGGAGAUGGAGCUACGACAGUGGAGCAAGCCGGCUCCAAAAGGAAGAUGGAAUAUACCUGGGACGUCGGGCUGUAGCUACAAGGGCGGUUGGGACGCGACAUCGGCCCAUACCGCGGUGACCCCCGAUUGGGACGCACCGACUGUGGGUUUUCUCCCUCGCUGAUGUCGACCUCGUCUAUGCAGAACAUUGUUCCCUUCCCCUAGCUACGGGAUCAGGCACGUCGUUCUAUGCUUGUGAAGAGAGCAACCUAAGCAAGCAGGCUUGUAGCUUAGGCUCCUGCUAGUGUAUAUAUAGUGGUGUUCUUUUUCUCUCCAUAUCAACUAUUUUAUAUUGCGUACGUGUCAUUCAAGAGUGAAAUGAUGGUUGCUUCUUCCAACUAACUUACUGUGUGAUUUGACUGCUCGUUAGUGGCCCCUACACGUAUUCCCCCUAUGUGUAUGCAACAGUCACACGUACACAUGGACGUAAAAACACGCGUGACGCCCUAAUGCAUGCAUGUCCGGGCACACAAAUGAACACACACGGUCACGCUCAAGUGCUCAACCUACACGUGCAUGCACACACAUACUCAGUCAGGGUGAGCUAGUGGCCGUAUAAACACCGGAAAAUAAAUAUAUUGAGCGCAAUGAGCGUAUUAUGAAGUCCAACGACCAGUGUCUUGGCUGAUCGUCCUAAGAAUGCUUAUAUAUGAAUAAAGCUCUCUCAUUUACCCGCAAAAAAGAUUAAGCCAUAUUAACCGGAAAUGAGGGAGUAUGGACUAGCACUACUUUUUGGUGUGUCCCGUCAACUCGCAGAACAAGGAGAAGCUUGAAGGACAAGGUGAAGCUCGCGUACGCCUUUUGACUAAUGCAACCUACCCACGGUGGACAUGCAUCAGUCCAUUCGGUGUCAGAUUGUUAGAGGCAUACACUAUAGUACCCAACAUGCGGAGUACCAUCAUUGUUCGACUUCACGAAGAGGUGAAGAGCCAAGCGCAGUAGUACGAGUACUACCACUACUAGAACCGCAUGGUGGAGCGUCUGUACUCUUAUUUUUUUUAUCUCUGAUAAAGUACACGUUUAUUCCGGAGAAGGGCGGAAAACGGCAGCCCAACAUGUAAUGAAUGAUAUCGAUCAACCAACCAUGCUCGAAUAUAUCUUGGCCUCCUUGCGAGCCCGUCUGUGUGUUCUCGCUCCUCGUCUCUCUCAAGGAACCGCGGGUUGGCUCUUUGCCAUCAAUUGAGAUCGGUUUGCUCACACUCCUAUCCCACAUGUUAGUGAUAUGCCAAGAGGAGGUGCGUUGACCGACUGGCCAUACGCGUACUUGGUUUUGCACCUUCAUACUACUCCUCCCUCUGUCAUAGUUUACCGGGCGCGCUUCAUUAUGAUGCAUUUCUCUCAAUGCAUUUCCACCACCAGAGAGACUUUAGAUGCGUUUGGUUUAAUGCUCAAUUAAUUAGGGCGUGGUAACCGCAAUCAAGUCCACAAUUUUCUCUCCAUGUACUCUGUACUACUACGGAGUGGAGUAAGUGCAUGCAUGUGUGUACCCGGGGUGGAAGCACUGCAUGCAUGCGUGUACGCAUUAUUCCCUCUAGUAAUAGACGCCGUGCUAUAACUACCAAUGCCAUUUUUUAGACCGAUCGCUAGUCGCCUUGGUCCCACAGAUUUUUUUUUUCUUCUUUCUGAAGUGCGUUGUAUAAACAGUGACGGAUGGAGUAGUAUGAGCAGAUUCAAAGAAGAGCGUAUUGAUGGUUGCUUCUUCAGAGCAACUUACAGUGGGAAAAGUGGGGCUUAUGAUUUGACUGCUCAUUACUUACUAUUAAUGCGGCGCAACGACCGGGCUGAGUCUCCCAUGCGGUUGUGCACUACCGCCUCGGUUCUUAAAUAUACUCUGGAGUAUUUGUCUUUAUAGAGAUUUCAAUGAGUGACUACUCAAAUAUUUGUCUUUUUAGAGAUUUCAAAUGGACUGGCACAUAUGGACGUAUAUAGACAUAUUUUCGAGUGUAGAUUCACUCAUUUUGCUCCGUAUGUAGUCACUUGUUGAAAUCUCUAGAAAGACGAAUAGAAUAUUUAGGAACGGAGGGAGUACAUAUACGAAGCAAAAUGAGUGAAUCUACACUCUAAAAUAUGUUUGAAAUUUGUAAAAAGACAAAUAUUUAGGAACGAAGGAGUAUAAUUCUGUACAUGGUACAUGGACCCGGAUGAUGAAGAGGCUUCUGGCAAUGCUAUCAAGCUUCCAUCAUUUGUUUACAUAAUUGAUGUACUAUAAAAAUAAUUUUCCAGCGACAUGAAAUUGUACAAUGGUGUGAGCUUUCAGCUUUUGUUUCGCGUGUCUUUCCAUUGAUGCUCUUUCGGAAACAAUAAAAAACUAACUUCCUUGCUAAUGCAUGUCAAUUAUUAGCACAUCGGAGCUAAAGACAGAGUUGUGAGAAGGUGUUAAAUUAAAAUUGAUCCAUGCUUUCAUUGGCAGCAACGUCCCCCCAGCUCUGUCUAAAUCAACAAGGCAUGUUGGGAAAAAAAGUUGCUGUCUCGAGCAUGCAACAUUCCGAUCAUUUUGUGCAGUUCCACUAAAAUAGAGCUGAGUGUCCUUGUUCCAAAGAUAUUAAGUGUGAUUACGAUAAUAGAGGACUGCUGAUGAAACAAUAAACACACAAAUAGAAGCCGGUCACCUUUGUAGUCUCUCUUAAGACUAACUAAUUGGAGAAGAUUAGGCUCGGAGUUGGAUGAGGAGGAUAGAGCAAAACCAAUCUCCCUUUGUGCAGUCGCACUGAAAUGUAGAGACAUUGCCCGUGUGACGUUUUAGUACAACUGCACAAAACACUCUUAAGAAAAAAGUGAUUUGUGCAGUUCACCAAAAGGUCGGAAUAGCAACGAGGUGAAAUGGAUAGCCCUGUUUGCAAAAAAGAGGUAGAAAGGAAACAAUUACUGGCCAAUAACAGUUGAUGACACAUGCGACGACAAAAAAGAAGCAUAUUCCUUGUCCUAAGGGAAGAUAACAACACGGUUGUGUUUGUCUAAAACGGUGUGAGGACGAGAAUGCAAUAUGGAAAGUACAUCGGACGAGCUACGUUUUGGGCAAAGAACUAUGGAAGAUCCACAUGCAGCGAUGUGGGAAGACGGGCAGUGGAGCAAGGCCAGAGGGGAUACCUGGAGGUCGUCGGGGUGUAACUAGGUGAGCAGCGGCGGGCGGAAUCUGCGAGCAGGUGGCGUAGGCCCUGCCCCGCCGGAGCUUGGUCAGAGAGAACGGCGUGUACUGCAGAUCAGGACAUGUUGCCUCGGCACCGUCGAACAGAGAAACGAUGCACUUCCUCCCUUUCCCUCGGCGGACGGGAUGCGGCCGGAUCAGUGACCAACGGUGAGAGAGAGAGGCCACCGCACUCCCUUUCCCCCGGCGGACGGGAUGCGGCUGGAUCAGUGACCAACGGUGAGAGAGAGAGAGAGCCCACCGCAUCCUUGUGUGAGAUACUCUAAAGAGCGAUAAACCAGGCAGGCAGGCUCCAUUGUAUAUAGUGAGUGGACUACCUUUUUAUCCAUAAAAAUCGUUUUAUAUUCUGUGUACGUGCCAUUGAGCGCUAUAACUUUAUUUAAAAAUAAUGCGGCAACGCGUCAAGUCGAACUUUGUUUCGUGCACGCGUGGUACACGACCUCCCUAGGUAAACAACCGCUACAUGCGUUCAAAUUAGCACGUGGGCUGCCAUUUCGUAAAGAAAUGAGCUCCACCGUGUACCCGCGCGGGUGUGGCUGGGCACGAAGCAUGAGUACGUGCACGGUGCACCUAUUCUCUUCUUGUACAUGUACACCACCUAUGUGGGGUUGUGUGAGAGAGAUACAAACCUAGAGAGAUAUAGUGUGUGGGUUCUUGAGAGUUUUUUGGGGGGGGGUCAAUCAAAAAAUGUAACAUAUGCAAUGUGUGUGAAAUAGAGUCCUAGAUAUAAUAUAUAUAUAGAGGGGGCGAUCCACGAGAAGAGAGUGGAGGUAUCAUCGGCUUGAGGUGUCCAUAGAAUCGAAGAGAGGGAUGAUGUGUGUGUGUGCGCGUGCGCGAUCGAUAAAGAGUGCCAUCGAAUUUGUGUGUGCCCACAUCAAAGAUAUAGAGUGGCUCGCCUACUGGAACGUGAGAGGGGACAUGUGCAGUUUGUCUCUAUGGCAUGGAUACCUACCUGCAGCGCUCGACUAUCGGUGUGUGGUGGGGGAAGAGGGAGGCCCAAUUAACUAUAGAGGUACAAUGGCUGGUAUAUGUGUGGAGGAGGAGAGAGGCCUACCUCAUGUAUUAAGGAGAUCGAUCUGCCUCAUGUAUUAAGGGAGAUCGAUCGGCAUCCAUGCAUAUGUGCAGGAGAGGAAUAAGGUUGGGAGAGAGACAGAGCUAGAGUGUUGGAGGGGGUGGUAGUGGAGUUGCUUCUAACAAAUGGUGGGACAGGCUUGCUAGACAAACGGAGGGCACGCCCGCAAUAUCAAUAAGAGAGGAGAUGGCUGCUUGUUGUCUGUGCACGUGCGUGUGAGAGACGGGUCAGGAGGCAUGCACGAAUGAUGAGGGGGGGCGAUGUGGCUGUGGUAAGCAGACGUGACUACAUAGGAAGAUCAAUCGCCCUUUGUUAGAGAAAGGAGAGACAUAACUUGUGAGGUACGUCGAUCGAUGGGGGGUAGUUAAAGUCGAUCUAGGUAUAUGUUGGGAGAUCGAUCGGUAUACUUGCAUGUGUGUGUUAGAAGCAAAUGAGGCACGAGGAGAAGGAUAGAGAGAGAGGGAUGCAUGUAGGAGGUGGUACAAGAGGCAUACUAUAUCGAGGAGGAAGGAGUGUGCGAGUACGAGAACGAUAAAAAGAGUGGUGGGAGUGAGGCAUGGACGGUGACAAGAGAAGAGGGGAAGCUUGUGUUUGUGCUAGGCACACCUGGCUAGAGAGGCAUAUCGAUCGAUGUGUGCCGUAAAUAAGGAGCUGGGGGGCCUACACACACUGUGGGUGAACGACCUAAAGUGAAAAGACGAAUUUGCACGAUGGAGCAAGAGAAUGCUGAGGGAGGGUGAGAGGGAUGCGGGCGUGUGCAUGCAUAAGAGAAAGUUAGCGCUAGCUACAAAGAUAAGAGGGUUGUGUGGGUGUAAAAGACGAAUAGAGAUCAUAUAUACUUCAUUAUAAAAAGCGAAUUCCGAUAUUUGAAGAAUUUAUCAUAGUGUUUUAAACCGACGCAUGUGUGAAUAUAUAUAACGGUGAUACACAUUGUGUGGUUAUGAACAUGUUAUACUACAUUUAAUAUAUUUUAUCUCUACUCUUAUAAAAAAUGGAGUUGUUGAUGAUGGUGUGCCUGCCAUCCUGCAUUAUAGGUCGUCCGAUUUAUAUCUGGCGGAUAGCAAGGAAACUAUGAUGGUUGAAGUUGGCAACAAUCAUGAUUGUAGAUUCUUAUUGAAAUAGAGAAACGAACUCAAAUUUAGUUCGAAUUGCAGCGGUAGUAUAGACAUUUGGAAUGCACUAAAAUGUUGGUAUGAGUAGGUUACAUGCAUUAUACAACAAGCAAAAAAAUUUAAUCGGACAUAACAUGGAUUCAUACUCCCUCCUUCCAUCUAUAUAGGGCGUAAUGAGAUUGUUAAGACUACCUUUGACUAUUGAUAAGAUUAAUAGUACAUGACAUGCACAAUGUGAAAAUUAUAUCAUUGAAAGAACCUUUCACAGAUGAAUUUAACGGUGUGCUUUGUGUAAGUUGCAUGUCAUAUAUCAUUGCUCUAAUAUUUGGUCAAAGUUAGCAUCAAAAACGCAUUAGGCCCUAUAUAGAUGGAAGGAGGGAGUAGCUUUGAAUAGCAUUUGUAUAGUAAAACGGGGCAAUACUCUCUCUUUGUGUGGUGUGAAUAGUUUUAUUUUUUUCGUUUUCUUUUUGGUUGAGGGAAGUGCGAAUUGAUUUGGUACGUACAAGUAUAAUAUUACUACACCUUAUGUUAGGCAUGUCCCUAAAAUUCAACCCGCGUCUUGUUAUAUCCCGAAAAUUCAGAUAUCAUGCUCUCAAAACUGGCGCCUUCACAACCCGCGCCUUGCUAUACCGAAAUUACAACGCGCGCGAAAACUCCCUCCAGCUGCCAAAUCCCGACACGCAAAAUCCCCCAUCUAACCCUGAGCCAAAAGGGCCGCCAGUUCAAAUCGGUGGGGGGUACUUUUGUAACACACCCUACAUUUUGGACAAGCACGUCCCUAAGUCAUGCUUCACCCCCUCCCAUCUCCCCCUUUUCGCCAUUCGAAAUCCCAGGCCGCCAUAACCUCUCCGCUCUAGCCACGAAACCCCACCCUCCUCCGUCCGCCACGUCACCUCUGCCCAGUCGGAGCCUCUUCCCCGACAACGUCAUCCACCACAACAGCUCGACAUCCCUCGUCCACCUCCCCGGAUGAGGAUCCGUCGUCCAUCUCGCCGUCCCGCCGGUUCAGCCGCCCUGUCCUCCACCUCCAAGGAGCUGCUCCGACGAUCGCCUCGUCUAUCGCGGCUGCUCCAUCCCCACAGCGCCGCCUUAACCUGCUCCACUGGAACCGCAUCAUCCUCACCGACUCCUCGGACGAAGCCGAGGCCUAUUCGGCGCCACCAAAGAGGUUGUACACUCAUCGCAUCGCACCUUCUCCUUAACUCGACCUCCCUGCGCCGACGGUGCUCCAUCCCGCACCCUCAUGGAGCGGCUACCUUGAAGCCGGCGCCGCGGGCGACAUCUCCACGGCGGCUCUCCCCAAGUGCAAGGCCCCUUCGGCGGCGGCGUACAUACCUGUCGGAUCUGCUGCUGCUGCUCCGGCUCUCGCUCGCGCUGCUGCUGCUGCUCCGGCUCUCACUCGAUCGCUCGCUCGCCCAGCUGCUGCUGCUGCUGCUCUCCCCCUCGCUCGUGCUGCUGCUCUGCUCUCAUUAAGCCACACUUCAGUCGACUGAAUCGACUUUUGGGUCAGUCGAUUUUCAGGGGUUGGGGGGGCUCGCCGGAGUUAAGGAAGAACCACCCGUAGCAGGGACGGGGGCUCGCCAGAGAGGUACCCUACUAUCUAUCUUAGGGUUCAGGGUGGGGCGGGGGGGCUAGAGGGCUGGCCAGGGCGGCCGUGGCGAGUUGUUUCGGGAUGGCGAGGCGGCACUGGGGUCGGCGAUUCGGCCGGUGGUGGCUGGCGUCUCAGGGGGGUGCAGGUUGAAGAUGAACCGCAUGCCCUCCCUAAACUACAUGACAAGUGCCUCUCUGCUACCAUUGCGUUCAGUUUCGACAGUAGCAUUUAGAUUCCACAGUAAAUUUCAGUUUCGACAGUUAAGUUCAGAGUCAACAAUUUUUACCUCAUCUGUUGUAGUCACGUGGUUUUUGGUGAUGUUAAUUUUAUAUCCGUUUACAUCAUCUACUGGAGAUGCUAUUAGAAUCCCACUUGAGAUUGAUGAUGUCUGUCUUGUGCUACUUCAGCCUUGAUGUCUUACGGCUCAUCGAAGCUGCUCCAACGACAGAACGAUCCAUCACAACAGAGCAGUGCCCUGGACGCCGUCUACAGAUUCCUCAAAUCUUCCUCCACACCUCCGACAGCCACCUCUGCCUCAACUGCUUCAUCGACCAAUCCAAUGAUGCUGAGGUCGACACGGCUACGGCAAAGAGGUUGUACACUUGUUGCAUCACUUAUUACUAUACAUUCACGUCGAUCCAUUAGGGCUAUUUUGGUUCAACGGAAAAACGUCGAUCCACUGGUUGUUACCAUCACUCUAAAUUUCUGCAUGCUCUCCUUACAUAAUCUCACCAUAUUUUUUUCGUAUGCAUGUCAGAUAUUGUACACAGUCAUGCUGAACAUGUAGAGAAAAAGAGAAGAGUUUUGCGCGGCAAUACAAUGUCAUGCAGACAUCGCUUCAUGGUGGGUUCAAUGGCAAACCCUCCCCACCCCUCUCCAGAUUGUAAUCCAGAGGAAGAUAUCUGUUCUGAGGCGGAUUCAGACACCGCUGACCACUCCUAUUUACCCCCCAAGGUGUUUGCUCUACCUUGGCAUGAUGAUGUUAGUCAUAUCAUGCAUAUGUUGCCUUGCAGUGCCUACUUUUGACAUCAUAUAUGUCAUCUGCUUAGUUUAGACAUGUUUUGUAAUGCCACCUAUUUAGUUUCUAUAUCAUAUAUGGGAAUUAUGCAGUCUCAUGUCUUUUAGCCAGCCAUAAUAUAUGUGAAAUGUGCAAUGCCAUCCUGUUUAACCAGGCAUCAUAUAUGUGAAUGAUAUCUUGCCCAUCCUUUUCUUCAUUACAUUUCCAUUUGUCGACAAUGUUUGUACAUUAAACUACUCUUCCGGUGAAUCAGCCAUUUGGGUGGGAGAUGGAAAAAUCUGGAGUGAAAACAAGGCCUUCAGAGCAGACAGUGCUACCUGUCGAAGCAGAUCUCUUGUUGGGCCUCGAUAGCUCCUCAGAGAUGGAUUCAGAGACAGAUGACCAGUCCUAUUCCCCCACUGAGGUGUAUGCUCUAACUUGGCACGGUUAUACUGCUCAUAUCAUGCAUACGGUGUCUUGCAUUGCAUAGUUUAGACAUCAUAUACACAAUAUUCAACACCAUGUUCUUAGUUCAGACAUCAUAUCGAAUGCCCUCUGUUUAGCAUAUAAAUCACAUAUGUGAAUUAAAUGAUGCGAUCCUGAUUACUUAGAUAACAUGUAGGUGAAUUAUGUCAUGCGAUCCUGUUUAGUUAUUCAUCAUAUCUUUGAAUUAUGUUAUGCUAUGCUAUCCAGUUUAGAUAGACAUCAUAUAUGUGAAAUUAUGUCAUACUAUCCGUUUUAGUUAAACAAUAUACAUGUCAAUUAUUUCAUGCCCUCUUUUUUCCACACUAUCUAUUGCAUCUGUCUCUCAUACAAUGUCUGUACAUUCAACUAUGUUUCCUGUUUAUCAGCCAUUUGAAUUGGAGCGGGUGAUGCCAGUAUCUAGCGGACUAAAAAGAUGGUCUUCAAAUAAAACAGUGCUCCCUCUUGGUGGAGAUAGCACCCUGGUUGUACAUGCACAAGAACCAGCCCUACCACACAUAACCCAAACUCUCGUAGAUUGUACCCCUACUACGAUGGACAGAGAACCAGCUUCACCCAAUCUAACCCCAACCCCAGCCGAUAGUAACCCAGUUCCUGUUAACAUAGCCUAUUCCUGUGGAGGAAGCACAACCAGCUAGUCAUAGUUUAGCAUCUAUCGCAUUUGAUGUUGUUAAAUCGUAUUGCGUAUCUUCCCAUCUUGGAAAUAUUAUACUGAAGAUGAAGGAAAAUGCCAGCUGCAGGUGUUUGUCCAGGAGUUAUGUGUAAGUAAUGUUAUUGAUGGCAAUUACUUUGCUUCGUCCCAUACAUCCUACCUCCAUGAUGGUUAUAAUACAGCAAAUUUUCCCAUUUUUCUCUAUAGAGAAGGACCGGUUUGAAAACUCAGGAUGAGGUAACCUAUGCUAAUACCUCUGCUAUCUUCAAGAAUGCUUGGUGGCAGUAUCUGAAUUACCUGAAAAAAUGUACUUCACCGGCAAAGAAACUCAUCAAAUUCCCUUACGUUCUCCUGAGACACAUUUACUGGACGAUGACUGGGAACGCCUUGUUCUGUACUGGUCCCGAACCAAGAAUGUGGUAAGGUCUAUGAGCUCACUUUCUAUUUUUAAGUAUUAUAUUCUUGCGUCUUAUUGUACUCUGUUCAUGUAGAACAAGUGCCUAAACCUGAAGAACAACUGUUCUAAUUUAAGAUUCCAUUGGUAUCAUAGUUCAAAAAAGCGCUAGGCGUUAAUUGUGCAUUUUGCCACCGCCUUGCGCUUUACUGACCAAAGCGCAUGCUUAUGCGCAGUUAUGCACAGAUUAUGCGUAGUUAUGCACAAUGCAGUUUGCCAACGCCUAGAGCCUAGGCGCGCUUAUGCGCUCGCUUAGGCGCGCCUUUUUUAACUAUGAUUGCUUUGCUCUUGUAUCACUGUAUUUACUCAUACAAACUUAUUUUUAAAUUGAAGGAUCCAAUCGAAACUCCAAUGGCACAGCGGGUAUGUUCACGCAUGUUUGUUUAACAGGUCUGCUUGAGCUUCCACUAAAAGGCAGAGGAUUCACCUGGUCCAACAUGCAGGAUAUCCCACUUCUGAGCAACUGGACUAGUUUUUUACUUCUGCUAGCUGGAUAAAUCAUUAUCCCAUGACACAAGUGGCUCCUCUUGCGAGAACAGCGUCUGAUCAUGUUCCUUGUGUUAUCUCUAUCAGCACCUCAAUUCCUAAAGCUCAUAUUUUCAGGUUUGAAAACUAUUGGGUGCAUCAGCCUGGUUUCAUGGAUUGUGUGAGGGAGGUCUGGAACAAGCCUUCGCAUAAACUCCACAUCUCUGCAGUUAUUAUGGACAAAUUGAAAUCAUUGAGGUUUGCUUUAAAGAAAUGGCAGAAGGGGCUUUCACACAUUAAAUCUUUAAUUGAAAAGUGAAAUUGGGUAAUCUUAUGGCUGGAUGAUUUAGAGCAUUGGAGGACUCUGUCCAUACCAGAGAUAAACUUCAGGAAGUUAUGUAAGUUGCAUCAUGAGCACCUUUUACAUUUGCAGUUUUUAUACUGGAGAAAAAGGUGUACUAUCAGAUAUAUCAAGGUGGGAGAAGAGAAUUCAAAAUUCUUCCAGGCCAUGGCAACAGAGAGAUAUAGAAAAAAUUCUAUUGCUAUCCUGAAUUUGUCUGAUGGGACAGUCUCUUCAGAUCAUGGGGAUAUUGCUAAGGAAUUUUUGGUAACUUUCAAAGGAAGAAAUGGAACCCUUAAACCAAUUGUUUUGGGGAAUGACAUCCUAUCUUUAAUUCCAAGAAUUCAAGGUCUUGAGGUGCUCACAAAACCUUUUCAUUUGAAUGAGAUUGAAAAGGUCAUAAAAGAAAUGCCAAUUGAUAAAGCACCUGGACCAGAUGGUUUUAAUGGUCUAUUUAUGAAGAGAUGCUGGCCAAUUAUUUCAUCUGACUUUAUUCAGUUGGUCAAUGAGUUUCAUGCUGGAACGGUAAUUUUGGAAAAUCUCAAUGAAGCUUAUAUAACUUUAGUCCCAAAAAAGCAAUCACCUGAGGGUGUGGGAGAUUUUAGACCAAUCUCUCUGACAAGUAUAGGACUAAAGUUUCUGACAAAACUGGCUGUCAAUAGGUUUCAGGAGGAAAUCACCAAAUGUGUGCAUAAGAAUCAGUAUGGCUUCAUUAAAUUAAGGACAAUUUAGGAUUGUAUUGCAUGGACUUUUGAGUAUAUUCAUCAAUGCAAUCAGUCCAGGAAGCCAAUUCUUUUGCUUCAGCUUGAUUUUGAAAAAAGCUUUUGACUCAAUUCAACAUGAGGCAAUCUUGAGAAUUCUUGUGGCCAAGGGGUUUGAUAGCAAAUGGAUCACAUGGAUUGAACAACUGUUAACUUCUGCAACAUCCUCAAUUCUGUUAAAUGGUGUGCCUGGAAGUCAUUUCAAGUGCAAAUGUGGUGUUAAGUAAGGAGAUCCUAUCUCUCCUUUGCUUUUUGUUAUUGCAGCUGAUCUUCUACAAACCAUGAUCAAUGAUCUUCUGCUUAGGGGGCAGCUGGAUUUGCCUUUGCCAACACAUGAUCCUUUUUAUCCUGUGGUUCAGUAUGUUGAUGACACCUUGCUGUUUGUAAAUGCUGACCUAGCUUAGUUGGAGGCUCUUAAAGCAGUGCUCAAUUCCUUUUCACUGGCAACUGGGUUACAAAUUAACUUUCAUAAGUCUUCAAUGUACCCCAUCAAUGUUGAAGCCUCAGUUGCUUCUGCACUUGCUGCUUCUUUUGGCUGUUAGUUAGGCUCUAUGCCUUUCACUUAUUUGGGACUGCUUAUUGGAACCACUAGACCAAAAAUUGUUGACUUGCUCCCUUUGGUGGAUUGCAUGGAAAGGAGGCUAACUGCUAGUUCCUGGUUUUUGCCUCAAGGUAGUAGACUGCAGUUGGUAAAUUCAGUGAUAUCUUCUUUGCCCAUAUUCUUUCUUUGCAUCCUAUCAUUACCAAAGGGCAUUCUAAAGCAGUUAGAAAGGAUUCAAAGGCAGUGCCUAUGGAGGAAAUAUGGUCAAGAAAAGGGUCAUUCUUUGGCUGCUUGGCCCCUUGUCUGCAGACCCAAGAAGAAGGGUGGAAUUCUGAAUUUGGGAUUGCAAAAUGAUGCUCUGUUGCUUAAGUCCCUGAAUAAAUUCUAUAACAAAGCUGAUGUGCCAUGGGUCAGCCUGGUGUGGGAUUCCUACUAUAAUCAAAGAGUUCCACAUGACACUACUUUAUGUGGCUCUUUUUGGUGGAGGGACAUCUGUAAGUUAGUGGACAAAUAUCGAGUUGUAACAUCUGUUUCUGUUGGCAAAGGAGAUUAUGUGCUUUUUUGGUCUGAUCAUUGGGAGAUUGGACAUUCAUGUAUCCCUCUGCAGGAAAGAUUCCCACGACUUCAUUCUUUUUGCCUUCAGAAGAACCUUUCUGUUAAGGAAGUGCUACAAGCAGGAAAUUUGCAACAAAUGUUCUCUUUGCCUUUGUCUGAACUAGCUUUUAGGGAGUUCAAUCAGCUUGCUACUAUGUUGUCUGGUAGACACUUGGACGAUGCUUGUGAUGAUAGGUGGACUUGGAGACAUGGGAAAAAGGGCGAGUAUUCUGCAAAGAAGUACUAUGAGUUUGUACACCAGCCUGUCAUUGCCAAUCCAAUACUGAGCUGGGUUUGGAAAAGCUGUUGUAAUGACAGUUAAAAUGUUUGCAUGGUUGGUUAUUAUGGAUAGAGUAAACACCAAAGAUAUGAUUCAGCAAAGACAUUGGAAAAUUAAUGAUGGACCUAGUUGUGUCCUCUGCCCAACUGGAGUACUGGAAGAUAGGAAUCAUCUAUUCUUCCAGUGCAAUUUCAGUAUGAGGAUCUGGAACUUUCUGCAAGUACCCUUGUUGAAUAGCAAUGAUAUGGUCCAAAUUGUCUUACAUGCAAGGAAGGAAUUUGAUAAACCAUUUUUUGCAGAGGUGGUUUUUCUUGCUUGGUGGAAUAUCUGGAAAGUGCGAAAUGACAAGGCUUUCAGACAUGUCCAUCCAACUUUUAGGCACUGGAGAAAUGGGUUCAUUCAUGAUAUCACUCUACUAUCACACAGGAUCAAGGCCAGAUACAAGGAUGAUCUACUCAAAUGGAUUGAUUUUCUGCCUCCUUGAAGAUCCACACCCGUUGUAACAUCUUUUCUUUCUUAGUUUGUAGCUCUGUUUCUUUCUUAGAGUUCUGUACAGUCUUUUCUCUUUCUCUUUCUUUGGUUUUUGUUCCCCCUCUUGAGGAACUUUGUUAUUUCUUCCUGUUCUUUAUUAGUAAAAUGCUGUGGGGUGUAAGCCCUGUAGUCUUCAUGGUCAAAAAAAUAGCUCUGUUGAUUUCAAUUUCAAUUGUGUAUACAGUUGACUUUCAUAUCAUGCACAUUACUAGCAUCACAACAGAGCCAAUAGUGUUGUUGUACAUGUAGACCCGUGGUACCCAUCUGAAAUCUUGUUGUGCCGUGUAGUUUCCCACGCUUUGUAUUCUUUCACUGCUGCUUUGUCUUGAACUGAUAUGAUUUGAACCGUGUCUCUAUUUUGAUUUGGCAAGACAAUGCAGUGACUAUAGGACAUAGAUAUAUGUUUGUUUGAUGCUUUUAUUAUGUACUAGUACUUGGCAAUAGAAGACUUGGUAGUUUAAUCCUGUCCACCUUACUACUGAACUGGUUCACCGAAAUGAGUUUCAUAUACUAGUACAUGCUAAACUUAUUAUGUGUCUGCUUGUUUCUUAUUUUAGAAUGCUGACAGAAUAUUGGGGAAGAGUGCCUUAUUAAGCAAUGGUAAAGGAAGUAAUGCAGGGAUAGUGACACAUCCUUGUUGUCUCCAACAAAGCCGAUAAAAUAGCUAAGGAAGACUAUCUUGAAGACAGCGAGACAACCCCAAAGUCCUGUCUUGGUUUAGUGUUCGAGUUACUGGCCACUACCGCUUGCACAAGCUAUUCAAACUCACUGUCUGAAUCAGUUCGGUUUCUUGAGUCUCAACUACAAGCUGAAAGACAUCGAUCAGCUGUGCUACGAUAAGAAGCGGAGGGACUGCGAAAGUCCCUGGAGCAUUCAGAUGCAUACUUUCUGGUGCAACAGAAAGCGUUGGAGGAUUUUAGCGCCAAACAGGACAAAGCUAAUCAGCUUGCUAAGCUUAUUGCCAGCAUGGUGGAUACCCAGGAUAAUGUUUCUUGAGCUCUUCUGAAGUUGUUUCAGUUAUGCUCUUGUUCUAUUGCCGCGUUUAUUUGCACUGCUGGCCAAUUUUGACGGCCAGUGUAUGUAAUGUGCUGCUUUGUUCCCUAUAUUUGCACUGGUGGCAAACUUUGAUGCCUAGUGGAUGUAAUAUGUGUAAUAGGGGUAAUAGGCUAGCGUUAAUUGCUUGCUUAUUUAUUUCCUUAUUGUCUUGUUUAGUUGUUUCCUUGUAGUCACUGUAAUUCUUUUUCUGUUUUUUUCUAGUGGCCACAAUAGCCUAUUUUUGGUAACUAGGCCAAAAUAAUCAUGGCAACACAUGGACUGUUGUAACCAUGGGCCUCCUGCAGGCCGUAUGAUCCAUGGGCCUUCGUCCGGCCGUAGGAUCCAUUGGCCUUCUAUACGGGCUGUAGGAUUCAUCGGCCUUCUAUACGGGCCUUAGGGUCCAUGGGCCUUCUACGGGCCAUAGGGUCCAUGGGCCUUCUACGGGCCGUAGGGUCCAUGGGCCUUCUACGGGUCGUAUGAUCCAUGGGCCUUCUACGGGUCGUACUAUCCAUGGGCCUCAUACGGACCGUAGGAUCCAUGGGCCUUCUACGGGGCGUAUCAUCAUUUCGCCAAUCAUGGGCCGUACUAUUUGUGGACCAUAACGGGUCAUUAAUAGGUCGUAUUUGAUAACUCUAUGAAAACAACCCAACGGGUUUUUCCGCAAACGGGGAGACUGUAACGACGGGCUGAAUUUGGCCCACGAGCAGAAAAUGACAGUAACGGGCCGUAUGUAACUGAAUGCUGCAAAUGAGCCCAGGAAUCAAUGGGCCCUGAGAAGGCCGAAAGAUAACUUGGGCUGUAAAUGGCCCAAUGGAAUAACGGACCGUUAAUGGGUAUAAAGUGAUACACUAUUCAUUACGGGCCAGUUUCACCACGGGUCAUUAAUGGGCCAAGAGUUACAAAGGUCCUCAUAUGGGCCGAAAGAAGUCAUGGGCCACACAUGGGCCGGAAGUUAAAACGGGUUGAAUCAUAUUGGACGGCCCAGAUGACGCUACUGGGCCUAAUUCGGAUACAGCGUAAUGGGCCCUGGGUUAGCAGGCUGUAAAUGGGCUAUAUGCAAAUAGGCCGUUAACAUGCUUUCCGUGGGCCGGCUCGCCACCUUUUGACCAAGUCAAACGGGCCGACCUUUUCACAGGAAUGGGCCUCUGCUGGGCCAUGCCACAUGUCGCCAUAUCAUAGGCGCCUUCGGUCCAAUGAGCAGAUGACAUCUGUCCCAAUGGUGAGCCGACACGUGUUUCCUCCAGCCAAUGAUGAUUUUACACGUGGAAAAUCCCCAUUGGUCGGGGCUGUUAACGGGUUAUCGGAUCCAAAACCCGACCCGAUAGCUUAACGAUGUUCCGUUACGGUGGAUGCCACGUGUCGGUCACCCUUGACGAAAGCACUUCUGUGAUGCGCGAUUUAUCGUCAUGGAAGUGGACACUUCCGUGAUGAUAAUUUUGGUAAUGUCAUGGAACACUUCUACGACAGCACAGGUAUGAAUAUCUUGAUUCUGUCAUAAAAUCAUCAUGGAUGUACAUGCAUGACAAAAAACGCGACCUACUGUGACAAACACGUAUCAUCACGGAAGUGUAUUUUUUUGUAGUGUCAAUCACUAUCUUAUCUGGAAGAUUAACUCUUGAUUCAAGCGAUUGUAGUAUCCAGACAUUCUGAGUACAUGCUCACUGCUUGAGCUAUUCUCCUCCAUCUUUUAGCUAUAGAACUUGUUGGAGACUUCAUAUCUCUCAACUCGGGUAUUUACUUGAAAUAUUAACUUCAACUCCUGGAACAUCUCAUAUGUUCCAUGACGUUCAAAACGUCUUUGAAGUCCCGAUUCUAAGCCGUAAAGCAUGGUGCACUAAACUAUCAAGUAGUCAUCAUAUUGAGCUUAGCCAAACGUUCAUAACGUCUGCAUCUGCUCCUGCAAUAGGUCUGUCACCUAGCGGUGCAUCAAGGACAUAAUUCUUCUGUGCAACAAUGAGGAUAAACCUCGGAUCAUGGACCCAGUCCGCAUCAUUGCUACUAUCAUCUUUCAACUUAGUUUUCUCUAGGAACACAUAUAAAAACAUAGGGAAGCAACAACGUGAGCUAUUGAUCUACAACAUAAUUUGCAAAAUACUAUCAAUUCUAAGUUCAUGAUAAAUUAAAGUUCAAUUAAUCAUAUUACUUAAGAACUCCCACUUAGAUAGACAUCUCUCUAAUCAUCUAAGUGAUCACGUGAUCCAAAUCAACUAAACCAUAACCGAUCAUCACGAGAAAUGGAGUAGCUUUCAAUGGUGAACAUCACUAUGUUGAUCAUAUCUACUAUAUGAUUCAUGCUCGACCUUUCGGUCUCCAAUGUUCCGAGGCCAUAUCUGCAUAUGCUAGGCUCGUCAAGUUUAACCCGAGUAUUCUAUGUGUGCAAAACUGGCUUGCACCCAUUUUAGAUGAACGUAGAGCUUAUCACACCCGAUCAUCACGUGGUGUGUCGGCACGACGAACUUUGGCAAUGGUGCAUACUCAGGGAGAACACUUGUACCUUGAAAUUUAAAUGAGAGAUCAUCUUAUAAUGCUACCGUCAAUCAAAGCAAAAUAAGAUGCAUAAAGGAUAAACAUCACAUGCAAUCAAUAUAAGUGAUAUGAUAUGGCCAUCAUCAUCUUGUGCUUGUGAUCUCCAUCUCCGAAGCACCAUCAUGAUCACCAUCGUCACCGGCGCGACACCUUGAUCUCCAUCGUAGCAUCGUUGUCAUCUCGCCAACUAUUGCUUCUACGACUAUUGCUACCGCUUAGUGAUAAAGUAAAGCAAUUACAGGGCGAUUGCAUUGCAUACAAUAAAGCGACAACCAUAUGGCUCCUGCCAGUUGCCGAUAACUCGGUUACAAAACAUGAUCAUCUCAUACAAUAAAAUAUAGCAUCACGUCUUGACCAUAUCACAUCACAACAUGCCCUGCAAAAACAAGUUAGACGUCCUCUACUUUGUUGUUGCAAAUUUUACGUGGCUACUAUGGGCUGAGCAAGAACCGUUCUUACCUACGCAUCAAAACCACAACGAUAGUUCGUCAAGUUAGUGUUUUUUUAACCUUCUCAAGGAUCGGGCGUAGCCACACUCGGUUCAACUAAAGUUGGAGAAACUGACACCCGCCAGCCACCUAUGUGCAAAGCACGUCGGUAGAACCAGUCUCACGUAAGCGUACGCGUAAUGUCGGCCGGGACGCUUCAUCCAACAAUAUUGCCGAACCAAAGUAUGACAUGCCGGUAAGCAGUAUGACUUGUAUCGCCCACAACUCACUAGUGUUCUACUCGUGCAUAUAACAUCUACGCAUAAAACCUGGCUCGGAUGCCACUGUUGGGGAACGUAGUAAUUUCAAAAAAAUUCCUACGCACACACAGGAUCAUGGUGAUGCAUAGCAAUGAGAGGGGAGAGUGUGUCCACGUACCCUCGUAGACCGAAAGCGGAAGCGUUAGCACAACAUGGUGGAUGUAGUCGUACGUCUUCACGAUCCGACCGAUCCAAGUACCGAACGUACGGCACCUCCGAGUUCAGCACACAUUCAGCUUGAUGACGUCCCACGAACUCCGAUCCAGCAGAGCUUUGCGGGAGAGUUCCGUCAGCACGACGGCGUGAUGACGGUGUUGAUGAUGCUACCGAUGUUGGGCUUCGCCUAAGCACCAGUACAAUAUUACCAAGGUGGAAUAUGGUGAAGGGGGGCACCGCACACGGCUAAGAGAUCAAUGAUCAAUUGUUGUGUCUAGAGGUGCCCCCCUGCUCCCGUAUAUAAAGGAGCAAGAGGGGGAGGCCGGCCGGCCCUGUAGGGCGCGCCAGGAGGAGGAGUCCUCCUCCUAGUGGGAGUAGGACUCCCCUCUUCCUAGUCCCACUAGGAGGGGGAAGGAAGGAGAGGGGGAGGAGAAGGAAAGAGGGGGCGCAGCCCCUCCCCUAGUCCAAUUCGGACUAGGCCCAUGGGGGGGGCGCGGCCAGCCCUCGUGGCUUCUCCUCUUUUUCCCCUAAAGCCCACUAAGGCCCAUAUGUACUCCCGUAUUCCCGUAACUCCACCGGUACUCCAAAAAAUACCCGAAUCACUCGAAACCUUUCCGAUGUCCGAAUAUAGUCAUCCAAUAUAUCGAUCUUUACGUAUCGACCAUUUCGAGACUCCUCGUCAUGUCCCCGAUCUCAUCCGGGACUCUGAAUUACCUUCGGUACAUCAAAACACAUAAACUCAUAAUAUAAAUCGUCACUGAAUGUUAAGCGUGCGGAUCCUACGGGUUCGAGAACUAUGUAGACAUGACCGAGACACGUCUCCGGUCAAUAACCAAUAGUGGAACCUGGAUGCUCAUAUUGGCUCCCACAUAUUCUACGAAGAUCUUUAUCGGUCAAACUGCAUAACAACAUACGUUUGUUCCCUUUGUCAUCGGUAUGUUACUUGCCCGAGAUUCGAUCGUCGGUAUCUCAAUACCUAGUUCAAUCUCGUUACUGGCAAGUCUCUUUACUCGUUAUGUAAUGCAUCAUCCGGCAACUAACUUAUUAGCUACAUUGCUUGCAAGGCUUAUAGUGAUGUGCAUUACCGAGAGGGCCCAGAGAUACCUCUUUGACAAUCGGAGUGACAAAUCCUAAUCUCGAAAUACGCCAACUCAACAUGUACCUUCGGAGACACCUAUAGAGCUCCUUUAUAAUCACCCAGUUACGUUGUGACGUUUGGUAGCACACAAAGUGUUCCUUCGGUAAAUGGGAGUUGCAUAAUCUCAUAGUUAUAGGAACAUGUAUAAGUCAUGAAGAAAGCAAUAACAACAUACUAAACGAUCAAGUGCUAAGCUAACGGAAUGGGUCAAGUCAAUCACAUCAUUCUCUAAUGAUGUGAUCCCGUUAAUCAAAUGACACCUCAUGUCUAUGGCUAGGACUUAACCAUCUUUGAUUCAACGAGCUAGUCAAGUAGAGGCAUACUAGUGACAUUAUGUUUGUCUAUGUAUUCACACGUGUACUAAGUUUCAGGUUAAUACAAUUCUAGCAUGAAUAAUAAACAUUUAUCACGAAAUAAGGAAAUAAAUAGUAACUUUAGUAUUGCCUCUAGGGCAUAUUUCCUUCACUCAAUGCACACGAUUAGUCUGCAAAAGCAUUAUCAUCAAUCACCAAAACCACUUAGGGUGAAAUAUGCCCUUACAAUCUCCCCCUUUUUGGUGGAUUGAUGACAAUACAGGAUUUGCUCAUAAGAGUACACAAAUGAAUAUAAGCGAUCCCAACUUCUACAAAAUAUAGAUAGGCUCCCCCUAGAUGUGUGCACUCUAUAUGAAUGCUUUGGACUGCACGGCACACAUGCUAGGAUCAACACUCCCCCUAUAUUUUAUAGAUGAGGCAUUCCUUGCAACAAUGUAAAGAACACUAAGCAUAAAAGACAAUAAGGUAAGCUUGAGUGCAUAUAUCUUACACCAUAUGAUAGGAUAGCAGGCCUCAAAAGCGCAAACCAAACCAAAGCAACACAAAUGAAGUUCCAACGAAAUGAAGGCAAAGACACGAAAGAAAGCAAAUCCUACACUCUCUCCCCCUUUGGCAUCGAGACACCAAAAGGGCAAAGAGGACACCUACGACAUAGGUGGUAGCACCCUCUGCAAGGAUCACUCAGCACGUUCCUCAUCGGACUCGGCAGCUGGGAUGGUCUCCUCCUCUGACUCGGUCCACUGAUAGCCCUGCUUGGCAAUCCAGUCAGCCUCUAGAGUGAUGUUUACCUCUGAUCCGCUCUCCACAAUCUCUCCAAAAGUCCUCAAGAUCCUCUUGUCGCGCUGGCGACUCUCCUUGGAAGCAAUGUGGAUCCUGUACUGCCCCUUGGCUUGCAUACAGAACAGGGUCUUCAUCUUGGCCUUCAGCUUCUUAGCCCAAGAGGGCUUAGUAGAUGGAGGAGCAUACCCAGCAGAAUUGUCCUCAGCCUCCUCCGGAAACAUCUUGUCCCAAGUAUUCGAGAUCAGAUGGUGCAGAUAAGGACCAUAGAUGGGAACUUUGCUAUUGUAGACCGCAAACCUGAGCUCACUCCACAUGAUAUGAAAGAUAUCCAGAGGCUGGGCAGCAUGCUGACGCGCCUCCUCACACAGAAGCAUCAUAUCCACGAGAUAAGCAUGCACCUUAUCUUUGUCACCGACGUGAGGAAAGAGGGUGUUGCGGAAGAUUCGGCGCAUGACAUCAAGGAAGGGGUUGAGCACCCAAGACUGAGAGCCAUUGGGGAGCUUCUUCUCCACCAUAAAUGGUAUAAGCUUGUCCUUGUUGGCUGACUCGGGGUUGCCGUGAGGGCGGGUGCCAAGGGGCACAUCAGGCCCCUCAUCAUGGACAUUGAGCAGCGUCAUGAAUUCCUUCCAAGUGGCAGACAACUUCUUCCCAUUGGUCAUCCAAGACAUGGUCCGCUCCCCAUCUGUGUGGAAGUGAAAAGAGGCAAAGAACUAUGCCACAAGCUCCGGGUCAAAGUCCAUAUGGAAUGUGAUGAAGUCUUCAAUGCCAAACUGCUCCACCAAGUCCAGUGCCUCACCAAAGUAGUCCUGGUUCUUCCUCAGAUGAGUCAUAUCAAUCCACUGCAUUGGGACAUAGAGGUUGUGCUUGGACUUGAUCACAUCGAUGUAUAUGAGAUUCUGUUGCUUGGUCCAGAACAACUCAUUCCCUAUGACAUUCUCAUGAGGGUUCACAUAGGGGUUGAUUCUCCUUCGAAUGAUGAACUCAGACACAGGCAUCUCAUCCAUGCCAAGAACUGGCUCCUUGUACUCAUUGGCGGUCUUCUUGACAUUGCGGUGUUGGGUAUUGGAGCCCUUCGGUGCUUCUUGAUUGCGCAGACGCUUCGAGCUCGUGUCACGGCUUGAGUUCGAGCGACGGACAUUGGAGCCACCACAUAUGACACAGAACACAAGAACACAUGAGAGAAACGAGAAGGAUUAAUGCAAAGACCACAGCCAAACCAAACGAGACACGUAGACAUACGAUUGGGAAGUUGCAACAAGGUAGCUUCAAAGUCAACAGGAGUACCUCACCACUAAGCGGAAGUAAAAAUUUACUUCUGCUCCAGCCGCGGUAGUACCACGCCGGGAUGGCACGGUAGUACCGCGCUCAGAGCAGAAGUAAAAUUUUACUUCCGUGCCCCGAGCGGUAGUACCGCCCUAGAGUAGUGGUAGUACUGCGCGAGGCGAAUGCGGCCAGAGCGGUAGUACCGCACGGGAGGUGCGGUAGUACCGCUCGGAAUCCAAUCCGACACAAGACGGAUCUAGGCACAUCCGCAACAUUGGAUCGGUAAUACGAUUGAUCAAGAAUACUGUGGCAACAAUCCAAAUAGUAUAUCUACUGCACUUCUACUCUCCUACAUCAUUCUCUUGCAAAGAUUUGGCCGAAAAUCUCAAGAACAACAUGCAUCUGCCCGAAAACCUAGAAGCAAAACUACGAGGCAAAGAGAGAGGGUUUCAGGGAGAAACCUUGUUCCAUGGCAAGAGGGCGAGGUGGGGAUCGAUCCCACCAGUCGGAAUGUGAGGAGAGCGGCCGGAGACGGAGAUCUGGCGAGGUCCUUCAGUGUCGUUCUUGGGCAGGAGAGAGAGAUACGGAGUGGGGAAACUGGGUUGAAUGGGUAUGGGGGAGUUGAAACUCCCCCUGCCCACACUUGACCCCCACCAGCUCGCGAUGGCGCGGUAGUACCGCGGGUCAUCGCAGUAGUACCGCUCGAGCGGAAGUAACGCACACAGGGCGGUAGUACCGCUCUUCCAACGACAGUAAAAAUUAUUGCUGCGAUGGAAGCGGUAGUACCAUGCUCUUCUCAUGUGGUAGUAUCGUGGCUUGCCGCGGUAGUACCGUAGACCCAAGAAAGUGCUCAUUUCGACAAAACAGAGAAACACGGUCUUUGCACAAAGACCUUCAAGCGACCGGACACGCAACUGCACACACACACGAGGCAACGCAGACACAAACACGGCACACCAAGAAGGCAAAAGACAACACGGAACAAGCACAACCAAAACCUCUCUAGAGGAGAGGGUGGUGGCCGAAGCCACCUAUGUUUGAGUCAAUUGGUAUGGCACCGCGAAGAAUUAUCCUUGUUGGGCCCAUGACCAAAACUCAUCUUUGAAGCACAUGUACCAUCAAGAAUGGCUAAUGUGAAAGAGUUGAUCAAUUUAUGCAUAAUGGGGGGAGGGAGAGUUCAUUGAGAGAACAACACUCCCCUAAGUCCAUACCUACAUCUAGACAAGAUAUCAAGUUGAGUAUGGUGGGGUGUGCAAGGGUUCAAGCUACAUUACUCGAAUCAAUGAUAUUUAGCUCAUGCCUUAACUCACGAAAUCUUGCUUCAUCCAAGGGUUUCGUGAAAAUAUCUGCAAGGUUAUCAUGAGUGUUGACAUACUUGAGCUUGAUCUCCCCUCGCCUAAUGUGAUCCCAGUUGAAGUGAUACCGAAUCUCAAUAUGCUUCGUCUUAAAGUGUUGCACCGGGUUGAGAGAGAUCUUGAUGGCACUUUCAUUAUCACACCAAAGAGGCACUUCGUCACAAAUGACACCGUAAUCCUUCAAAAUUUGCCUCAUCCAUAAAAGUUGUGCACAACAACUACCGGCAGCCACAUACUACGCUUCGAUGGACGAGAGAGACACACAACUUUGCUUCUUAGAAGACCAACUCACCAAAGAGCAACCAAGAAAUUGGCACCCUCCGGAGGUGGACUUCCUAUCCACUCUGUCUCCCGCCCAAUCUGAGUCUGAAUAGCCCAAAAGGUUGAAGUUGGCUCCUCUUGGGUACCAUAAGCCAAAGUUUGGGGUAUGAGCCAAAUAUUGAAAGAUUCGCUUAACUGCCACAUAGUGGCUUUCCUUAGGCGCGGCUUGAAACCGUGCACAAAUUCCCACACUCAACAUGAUAUCUAGUCUAGAUGCACAAAGGUAAAGCAAGGAGCCAAUCAUGGAGCGAUAUACCUUUUGAUCCACCGCUUUACCAUUGGGAUCUAUGUCAACUUGGCAUUUGAUGGGCAUUGGAAUGGAGGCUGGCUUGACAUCACUUAGCUUGAAUCUCUUGAGCAUGUCUUGAGUGUAUUUGGCUUGGUUGAUGAAAGUGCCUUCUCUUUGUUGCUUGAUUUCGAAACCAAGAAAGAACUUCAACUCUCCCAUCAUGGACAUCUUGAACUUUGAGGUCAUGAGAGCAGCAAAUUCCUCAUUGAAAGCUUUGUUAGGGGAACCAAAGAUAAUAUCAUCAACAUAUAGUUGGCAUACAAACAACUCCCCUUUGACCUUCUUAGUAGAAAGAGUGGGGUCGAUUUUCCCAAUUUCAAACCCACGAUCUUGCAACAACUCGGUAAGAUGCUCAUACCACACAUGUGUGGCUUGUUUAAGGCAUAGAGUGCCUUGUCGAGUUGGUACACAUGAUCGGGGAAAUAGGGAUCCUCAAACCCCGGGGGUUGUUUGACAUACACCAACUCAUUAAUAGGACCAUUAAUAAAAGCACUCUUCACAUCCAUUUGUUGCAACUCGAAGUUAUGAUGAGAAGCAUAAGCAAUCAACAAACGAAUAGAUUCAAGGCGAGCAACGGGAGCAAAGGUUUCGCCGUAGUCGAUACCCUUGACUUGGGAGUAGGAUUGUGCUACCAAACGAGCCUUGUUGCAAAAAAUAAUCCCGUGAGCAUCUUGCUUGUUCUUGAAUAUCCACUUGGUUCCAAUGACAUUAUGGUUCCCCGUUGGCCUUGGCACCAAUCUCCACGCUUUGUUGUGCUCGAAGUUGUUGAGUUCUUCAUGCAUGGCAUUGAGCCAAUCCGGAUUCUCGAGCGCCUCAUAGAUCUUUUGGGGUUCAACAUAAGAAACAAAUGUGUGAUGUUUAUAAUAGUUUGCUAAUUGUCUACGAGUGCUUACCCCCUUUCUUAAGCUUCCAAGCACAUUAGUUAUGAUAUGAUCUUUGUUUGUGAGCUUGGAUGCAAUCUUAGUGGCACGACGCUCCAAUUCCUCCUCAGGUGUGAGAUGAGGAGUGGAAACUUGAUCAUCUUGAGCGUCGUUUUGAGCUUGUUCUUGAUCUUGAACUUGCUCGGAAGGGAGAACUUGACCUUGGGCAUCACUUGGUGGCUCACCACCAUCUUGAAGUUGAUCUUUUCCUUGAUCUUGUUCACUUGGUUGGGGCCUUCACUUUGUUCUUCAGAAGCGUGCGGGUCUUGGGUUGGUGAUGGCUCCACUUGAGUGGAGCAUUGUCCUUCUCCUUCGGCCACAAGGGGUUCCUCAAUGGGUAGGAUAUGACCAGAACCCAUUCUUCUUAUGGCUUGGGGAGGAAUUUCAUCACCUACAUCACAAGUACCACUUUGCUCCACUUGGGAGCCGUUAUUCUUGUCAAACUCCACGUUACACGUCUCCUCAAUGAGUCUCGUGGACUUGCUGAGGACACAGUAAGCAUGAGAGUCUGUAGCAUAGCCAACCAAUAUGCCCUCGUAAGCUCUAGCCUCAAAUUUAGACAAACGAACACCUUUCUUGAGAAUGAAACACUUAUAACCGAACACCCGGAAGUACUUGAGGUUGGGCUUGUUACCGAUAAAUAUCUCAUAUGGAGUCUUGUUCAAGCCCUUGCAAAGAUAGAGCCGAUUGGAUGCAUGGCAAGCGGUGUUCAUGACUUCGGCCAAAAAGUUGUAGGGAGACUUGAACUCCGCCAUCAUGGUCCUUGCCGCGUCCAUCAACAUGCGGUUCUUCCUCUCUGCUACACCAUUUUGUUGAGGGGUGUAAGGUGCGGAAUAUUGAUGCUUGAUCCCCUCAUCACUAUGAAACUCAUCCAAGGUGUAGUUCUUGAACUCGGUGCCGCUGUCACUUCUUAUUGUCAAGAUCUUUGCAUUGUGUUGACAUUGAGCUUCAUUUGCAAACUCGAUGACGGUUUGUUGAGUUUCACUCUUCCUCUUGAAGAAAUAUACCCAGUGUAUCUUGAAUAAUCAUUGACAAUCACCAAGCAAUAAUUUCUACCACCAAGACUAUCAAAGGCUGGAGGCCCAAAGAGAUCCAUGUGAAGGAGCUCCAAGGGUCUCUUCGAGUAGAUGAUAGUCAUGGGAGGGUGAGCCUUCUCAUGUAACUUUCCUUCAAUACAAGCACUGCAAGCACGAUCUUUGGCAAAACUAACAUUUGUUAGUCCACAGACAUGGUCCCCCUUGAGAAGACUUUGCAAAGAUCUCAUAUUGACAUGGGCUAAACGAUGAUGCCAAAGCCAUCACACACCAACUUUAGCCAUUAGGCAUGUCGCGGUCUUAGUGGGUUGCUCCGAAAAGUUAAUCACAUAAAGAACGUUCUCAACAUGCCCAACAAGGCUACUUUAAGAGACUUGCUCCACAAGAGGGCCACAAUAUCAAUAUCAAAGAAUGUGGAAAAGCCAUGAGUGCAAGUUGACGAACGGAAAGUAAAUUGUAUGCAAGGGACUCAACAAGCAUGACUUUCUCGAUCGUGAGAUCAUGAGAAAUGACAACCUUGCCAAGACCCAAUACCUUGGAAGACGAGGCAUCACCCACUCGACAUUGGUGGGCAUAGAUGGAAUCUUGUGCACGUCCACCACCAGGUCCUUGCUUCCGGUCAUAUGAUUUGUGGCUCCACUAUCGAGCAACCAUGAUCCCCCACCGGAAGCAAACACCUACAAGAGAUCAAUGCUUGGUUUUAGGUACCCAUCUCGUAAUGGGUCCUUUGAUGUUAGUAACAAGGGUCUUAGGAACCCAAAUGGACAAUUCAAUGUACUCAUAAGGAGAACCAACAAAUUUAGCAUAAACAUGCCCAUCACUAGCACGACAUAACACAUAAGAAGGGUUAAAGUCGCAGGCUUUGUUGGAAGGGGUGGCAUUGUCCUUCUUGACACCACCACCCUUCACAUUGUUCUUCUUAUCCUUAGGAGCACCAUCUCCCUCCUUCAAACAAGUUUUCUUGAGAGGAGGAGGUCUUUUGGCCUUGUCAUUCUUCUUCUUGUUCUUGGACUUGGGUGUGAACCCAACUCCCUCCUUGGCCACAACUUCCUUUUGAUUGCUCAAAAGGUCGUUGAGGUUCUUCUCACCUUGUAUGCAAGACACAAGGCCUUUCUCAAGUUGCUCCUUCAACUUGGCAUUCUCCUCCACAUGAUGCACACGCUCACAACACGAGUUAGUAGCAUUUGCAUUAUCAAUUAAGACCAUAUGAGGAAAAGUGGCUUUCUCCUUGGUUAGCUUCACUUGGAGUUGAUCAUGAGACUCCUUGAGGCUAGCAUGAGCACCCUUCAAAGCCUUGUGAGCCUUGUCAAGUAUAUCAAACUCCUCCUUGAGUCUAGCAUGGUCAACCCCAAGUUUAGCCUUCUCAGAAUUGAGCACACGAGAUACAACAAGAGCAUGAUCAAGAUCUUUCUUUAAUUUAGCAUGGUCAUCGUUGUGUGACUCCUCAAGAGCCAAAUGAUGAACACGCUAUUCCUCAAGUGUAUUAGAGAGAUCCAAUAUCUCACCGGCAUAGUCAUGACUAUGACCUUCCAUCUUAGAGAUGGUUUCUUCAUGAGCAUCGACCAUGUCAUUGGCUUCACCAAGUUGUUCCAAGAGAGCAAUGAAGUGCCUCUUGUAUUUACCCUUGAGCUUACUCAUAAAAGACUCAAUUACAUUUACUUCCUCAUUAGACCCCUCACUUUCAUUAGUGCAAUCCAUCAAGGAAGAAUUGGUAAUGAUGGUAGUUUUGAUGUUGGGGGUUACCUUGUUAGUGGCUUUGGCCAUGAGGCACUUGGCGGUGAUGUUCUCAUUGGGUGAAUCAAAGAGGGACACCCGUGGAUUGUGGCAAUGGCAACAGAGGCCAUGGCCAUGGCUUCACCAUCUUCAUCAUCAUCAUCAUCAUUGUACUCUUCUUGUGCCACCAACCCUUUGGUCGGAGUCUUCUUGGUGAAGUUGUUCUUGUUGGGGAAGGACUUGGCUUUGUCUUUUCGGAUGAGCUUGCCACCAUUGUCUUCCCGCUUCUCGUAAGGUCACUCUGCAACAAAGUGGAUCACAUUGCCACAAUUGUAACAUGUCCUCACACGUUGCUUGCCCUUGAUGCCACUAGAGUUGUUCUUGUUGAAAUUGGGCCUUGAAUUCUUCUUGCUCCAAAAUUUCCUUGAAGCGAGAGCCAUGUGCUCAUGAUAAUCAUAUUUCAUGUCUUCGGGGUUCCUCUCCCCAUCUUCCUCUUCAUCUUCUUCUUCCACACUAGCCUUGGCCUUCAAGACAAGGUUGGGCUUCUUUGCUCUUUGAGAAUGCAACACCACAUUGUCGGUGGUCUUGUCCAAGAUCCUCAUCGCCACAAACUCAUCCAACACUUCACUUGAGGUCAAGGUGUGGAAGUCCGGCCUUUGACGGAUGAGGGAGGACAUUGCCUUGUGGUAAGGCAUCAUGGCCUUGAGGAACUUGCGCUUGAUCCAAUUGUCAUAUGUAUCCUUGCUCCCAUGAUCUCGGAGUGAAACCGCGAGGGUGGUUAAUCUCCGGUAAAGCUCGCGGGGUUCUUCAUCUUCAUUCAUUGCAAACUCAUCGGCUUCAUCUUGCACCACUUCAUAGUUGGAUCGUUGAAUGCUUGUGCUUCCCUUGUAAAUGGAAACAACAUGGUGCCAUGCUUCCUUGGCCACGGUGAAAGGUCGGAGAUGCGCAAUAUCUUCGGAUGGAAUUGCAUCUUGGAUGAUGAAGAGAGCAUUCUCGUUGAAUUGAUGGUCCGCAGCUUCUCUAGGGGUGAACUUGCUUGGGUCAUGCGAAUAGAAACCUUACUCAAUGAUUCUCCAAAGAUUAGUAUUAACAUGAUUUAAAUGACAUUUAAAGCGAUAGACCCAAGAGUCAAAAUCCUCAUUUUUCACAAUCUUAGGAGGAGGACCAACAUGAUUCAAAUGAGUGGAGGGAACCGGUCCUCCAUAAGUAGGUGGAGGUUCAACAUGGGCAAAGAUGCCGCUACCAUUUCUACCACUAGAUAAAGGAACUUUAUCACAAGAAGCUUCCCCCUUAUCGGAGUUAGCAUCCACCACCUUAUUAGUGGGAGCAACCACUUCCAACGGUGCAGUGGAUAACUUAAGACCAUCAAGAAACUCCUUGAACAUGACGAUGUAGGUUUUCAAUGUGUCCAAAGCCACAUUGAAUUCCUCACACCGGGGAUCCCCCAUCGGCCGUAGACGAAGAAGGAUUCACAUCGGGGUGCUCCUCCUCACUGUCUAUGGUGUCAACCAUACUCUUUGGACGGUAAAGUCCUUAAUAAAGAGAUGAAGCUUUGAUACCAAUUGAAAGGAUCGAUAUAGUUGAGUAGAGGGGGGGGGGUGAAUAGGCAACUAACAAUUUUUACCUUUUCUUUACCAAAUUAAACUUUGCAUCAAAGUGGGUUAUCUAGAUAUGCAACUAGGUGAGCAACCUAUAUGAUGCAACAACAACAAGCACACAAGCAAGCAAAGGAUAUAACACAAUAUAGCUUGCACAAGUAAAGGUGAGAGAUAACCAAAAGGGGAACCGAUGGAGACGAGGAUGUGUUACCGAAGUUCCUUCCCUUUGAGGGGAAGUACGUCUCCGUUGGAGCGGUGUGGAGGCACAAUGCUCCACAAGAAGCCACUAGGGCCACCGUAUUCUCCUCACGCCCUCACACAAUGCGAGAUGUCGUGAUUCCACUAUUGGUGCCCUUGGAGGCGGCGACCGAACCUUUACAAACAAUGUUAGGGCAAUCUCCACAACUUAAUUGGAGGCUCCCAAUGACACCAUGAAGCUUCACCACAAUGGACUAUGGCUCCGCGGUGACCUCAACCGUCUAGGGUGCUCAAACACCCAAGAGUAACAAGAUCUGCAAGGGAUUAGUGGGGGGAAUCAAAUUUCUCUUGGUGGAAGUGUAGAUCGAGGCCUUCUCAACCAAUCCCUAGAGAAUCAACAAGUUUGAUUGGCUAGGGAGAGAGAUUGGGCGAAAAUGGAGUUUGGAGCAUCAAUGGAGCUUGGGGAUGGAAGAGGUAGUCAACUGGGCGAAGAAGACUCCCCUUUUAUAGUGAAGGGACAAAUCCAACCGUUAUCCACUUAACCAGCCCGCGACAUGCGGUACUACCGCACCAGACAUGCGGUACUACCGCAAGGCGUUGUCGUACUACCACUAGGAGGUGCGGUACUACUGAACCCAUGGCAUAUACCAAAAGAAGCCUGUUUGCGUUGAUGUUACGAGUGGUAGAACCGCCGGAGCGGUACUACCGUGCGCCCUUGCGGUACUACCACAAGGCAGGGUUCGACUGGGCUGGGAAGGCACGGAUGAAUAAAAUUACAUCCAUGACUACUUCUGCUGAGUUUAGAUCGGUGCAAAAAUCCGACACGGUACUACCGCAUCCAGGGAGCGGUACUACCGCAUAAGGCGCAGAUGUAAAAAAUUACAUCCGCCCCUACUUCUGCGCGAGUAGCAGUGCUGGACCAAAAGUCAAAGUACUACCGCGUCCUAGGAGCGGUACUACCGCAAGGUGGUGCAGUACUACCGCAUCCUUGGACGGUACUACCAUGAGCCUCUACGGUACUACUGCUCCCUUGAGCAGUACUACCGCACGCCACAGCACACUACUACUUGGAGUCGUUCAUUUUGCAAAGAGACAGAUAACUGAUCGGUGCUCCAAAGAGGCAAGGGAAAGGUGGUGUAAAGAAACAGACGUGUAUGUAAUGAUUCCACCCUAACCUUUCCGAAGCGGACCCCCUCUUAAUAGUAUGACUUUCCUACGACUCAAAUCCACCAAAAGGAAAUAUAGAGAAACGCCGUCUUCACUAGGCUCCGAGGGGCAUCGAAUCGUCUUGUGCCAAAACAUGAGAUAUCUGAAAUGCUCAAUGCACACGAUUAGUCCACAAAAGCAUUGUCAUCAAUCACCAAAACCACUUAGGGUGAAAUAUGCCCUUACAAUGUCAAUUUGGUAUUCGUUUGAUACUGGUGGUGUUGUGUGAACGUCGACUACAUGACACUUCACCAUGAUUUGGGCCUAGGGGAAGGCAUUGGGAAGUAAUAAGUAGAUGAUGGGUUGCUAGAGUGACAGAAGCUUAAACCCUAGUUUAUGUGUUGCUUCAUAAGGGGCUGAUUUGGAUCCAUAUGUUUCAUGCUAUGGUUAGGUUUAUCUUAAUUCUUCUUUCAUAGUUGCGGAUGCUUGUGAGAGGGGUUAAUCAUAAGUGGGAGGCUUGCCCAAGGAAGGGCAACACCGAAGCACCGGUCCACUCACAUAUCAAAUUAUCAAAGUAACGAACGCGAAUCAUAUGAGCAUGAUGAAAACUAACUUGACAAUAAUUCCCAUGUGUCUUCGGGAGCGCUUUACUUUAUAUAAGAGUUCGUCCAGGCUUGUCCUUUGCUACAAAAAGGAUCGGGCCACCUUGUUGCACCUUGUUUACUUUUGUUACUUGUUACCCUUUACGAAUUAUCUUAUCACACAACUAUCUGUUACCAAUAAUUUCAGUGCUUGCAGAGAAUACCUUGCUGAAAACCGCUUGUCAUUUCCUUCUGCUCCUCGUUGGGUUCGACGCUCUUACUUACCGAAAGGACUAUGAUAGAUCCCCUAUACUUGUGGGUCAUCAAGUACCAUGAACCGACAAUUCUUCUAUUACAAAGCAUGCUUGCACAAAAAUAUUUCUAAAAGCAGGAGUAUGGCCAUCCGUGCUCGUACCACGCACCAAAAUACUCUCACGUUACUCAGAAGUGCAAAAUACUCAAUUACUUCUCAUGAAUAUUCAUAUCAUAAGUCCACAAUUCAUCGGAUCCCAACAAACAAACUGCAAAAGAAGAUUACAUCGGAUAGAACUCUAAGAACACCUAGGAGAACAUUAAAUUGAAGAUCAAAUAGAGAGAAGAAGCUAUCUAGCUACUAGCUAUGGACCCGUAGGUUUGUGGUAAACUACCCAUGCAUCAUCGGAAGGCAGUAAGGAUGAUGUAGAAGCCCUCUGUGAUUGAUUCCCCCUCCAAAAGAGUACCGGAAAGGCCUCCAGAUGGGAUCACAGAAGAACAGAAGCUUGCGGCAGUGGUAAAAGUGUUUCAGAUGGCUCUCUGUUGGUUUGGGAAUAUCUAUGAAUUUAUAGGCUUGGAAUUAGGCAAAUGGAGUUGUGUGGGUCCCACAAGCUCAGGGGGCACGCCUACCCCCUGGGGCGCCCCCUCAAGCUUGUGGCUUUCCCGUAUCUCAUCUAGUCUCCUUCUGAAGCUUCUAGGGUCCCUUUUGGUCCAAAAAAAAUUAAUCCAAAGAUUUUUAUUGUUUGGACUUCAUUUGAUAUUGAUUUUCUGAGAAGCAAAAAACAGGAAAUGGCACUAGGUUAAUAGGUUAGUCCCAAAAAUGAUAUAAAAUAUUAUAUAAUUUCAUAGAAAACAUCCAAGAUUGAUAAUAUAAUAACAUGGAAUAAUAAGAAAUUAUAGAUACGUUGGAGACGUAUCAGGCUACGCAUGGGCGAUGCAUUUGCUCAUCAGCAUAGUGGCGAUUUAGUUUAGCAUGAUUCCUCAAACGAUUGACAUCCUGAAGCAUAUAGGAAGUAUGUUUCUUCUGCCACUUGAUGAACUUGGCCAUCAUUUGCUUCAUCUCGACCAUGAUUUCUCUAUCAGUCAGAGGACUUGGAGGAACAUGAUGCAACUGAUGGAUCAAUGCCUUCGGUGUAAUAAGCAUAAUAACCUCGGGCACUAUCCAUGGGAUCAUAAAAUUGUCCAACAGUCAAAGGAGGAACAAUGCCCAGGCUUGGAUCAGUUGAAACAUUCUUCCCUAUAUCAUUGGAAGUCAUCAAAGGAGGAUGAGUUCGUGAUUCAAUAUUAGGAACAUGUGCAAGAUGCUCAGACUAGGAAGAUAACCCCGUUGAGUAUGCUUGAUGAUUAAAGGCAUGAUCUAGGGAGCAUAAGGCUUCAACACCGGAGUAACACGAGAAGCAUCAUCGCUGUCCUCAGAAAGAAGUUUCGACAUCAACGCACAAAAAGUAGAAAAUUUGCCCUAACAGAUUCCUCAUAACAUCUUGAUCAAUAGCUUCAUGCGAUCCUUUCUUAGGAGCACUAUCUAAGAUAUCGACCGGUAUUUCGAUAAAUCGGCCGAUUUAUCACUUACCUGUGUCUGACCGAUAAGAUAAAUUGACCGAUAUGCCAAUAAACCUGCCGAUUUACGCCUUAUCUUGGGUCGGCCGAUAAGUUCCCCACAAGCGAUUUCCCCAACAUUGCUUAGGAGCAAGUGUUUUUACCAUCAUGCGAUACAAGGUCUUGGCAACAAAUUCAUAUAUUGAUACGAAGAAUUUUAGCACUCUCCUCUUGGGCAUUGAUAGGCCUCGGAUUGUGGAGCAUAUUUAGAAGCUCAGUCUUCACUAGGUCUAGAAUAUGCAGUCUCUGUUCUUCAGUGCUUGGAACCCGAAUAUGACAUAGAGUACUGAAUGCAAUGCUAAAUUCAUCUGCAAUAGCUGCGCACUAAGUAUGUUGUGUCAUCUAGUGAAGCUUACAGGUGCUAGUAUCCUCCAGACACAAAGAGAGUAGCAUAGAAUUGAAUAAACAAUUCUUCAUUCAAGCUUUCCAUGCCUUCAUAGGCGGACAAUCAACUCCCAACAGGAUAUACAAUCAUAUUUUUUUAACAAUCCAUGCUUUGUGGGAUGAAUUUUGAGAUGUUGGCAACAACAACAACAACAAAAACACUGCAACAACCUCGUGCAUAUCAUGUGGAACGCGUGGAAUGAGUCACAUCUUUAGGCUCCUUCAAUUCAAAGGAACUUUAUAGGAUCCAGAGAAAUUGAACCCCGAGAAUUUUUUGCUAGGGUGGUCGUCUGAUUAGUAGGAUUGGAGAUUUUUUCAAUAGGACUCAUUUGUACUUCACUUUAAACGAAAGUUUCCAUCAGCUCAAAUCUCUUGAUAGUCACUUUAUUUUUCUCUGCUAUCAAACACACUUUCAUCUGAAUCCUUGUAGUUUUGCAAUUCUAUUGGAUAUACGAGCACACGGCACUCAUCCUCCUUCAUUUUUCCUAUUCCUAUGUUUAAAAAACCAUGCAAAUAAAAAAUGCCCAUAAUGGGAAAGAUGAAUGUGAGAUGAAUUGAAGUGCUCAUUAAUGGUAGUGAUGGAGUAAUUUGUGAAGCCCAAAUGGAACACACAUGUCAAAGUUAAACCCGACAAGAUACUAAGCUAACAUAUUAAAGAGCCAUUCACCACGUGGCAGGCGGAGUGGUGAGCAAUCUCAAAAUCAUGCAAAUGAUAUGUUUAACUAAAAAAUUAGGGUUCCUCCGCCUCCCGCUGGCGCCGCCGCCGAUCCGCCUCAUCUCCGGUGGCCUUAGGGCCAUGGGGACACGAUGUAUCCCUGCCUUUGCCGAUGGGAGGGCUCCAUUUUUAGAUGUGUUUUCGAGUUUUGUUAGGGUUUGUGUCCUGCUCAAGAAGGCGAAGCGGUGGCGGCUCUCUGAAUGUGGAAUAAGAUCCUCCCCGCCUAGCCCCUGUUCCGGUGCUGCAUCUAGCAUCGUCGGUGGGCCUGUGGAGGCAUGUCUUCGGUGGACCUGCUUUUGGUGGAUUUGCUCGGAUCUGUUCGUAGUUCGUCUAUGUUUUUGUGUCUUCGCUAUAACCUUCCGAUCUAUGCUACUCUUCAUCGGCGACGGUCGCUAUUCUGGUGUGCUGGUUCUAUAGGGCCUUAGCACGACGACUUCCUGGUUGUUUACUACAACAAGUUUUGCCCAGCUCCCAUGAUGGAGAGGCCUUGUCGGCGGUGCACCUUCAGCUCGCUUCAGUGCUUGUAGUCGUCGCUAGGUGGUCUACAAAUCUAGAUGUAAUUUUUAUUAUUUAUUGUGUUCAUUGUACUACCAUGAUUGACCUCAGAUGUUUUUUUUAAAAAACCAUCAAGCGAAUACAUAAAAAAUGCUAAAAAUGCAAAACUACUCCUACAAAACUACCGCUGACAAAUUCACCUCGCCCAACCCCUGGGAUAUGCCCCCUCGGAUAUGCUAUAAAUUACAGCCACAUGUCUUCCGCCAUCGCCUUCAACCCCUACUUCCAUCGGCGGCACAGUAGCAGCACACCGACUAGAAAAGGCGCCCGAGAGGAGGGGCGAGCGAGUGAGCGACCCACCGAAUUUCCCUAAAAAAAUUAAGGAAAAGCCAAGCCGAACAACCGAAUGAUUCUGCUGUGCGUAUCCUCCUCCCCUUCCACACCCGCUAUAAUAGCGCCACGCCUUCGUCGCCUUCGUCACCGCACCACCACUCCCUCCCUACCUCACUCCUGAUCUCCCCACCGUCUCCUCCUCGCCUCCUCCUCGACCCCCCGCCCCCUCGCGCGUGCCCACCGGCCCGGCGCCGUGGCCACGACAGCGGAGAUGGUGUUCUCCGUCACGAAGAAGGAGACCAAGCCCUACGAGGGCCAGAAGUCCGGCACCUCCAGCCUCCGCAAGAAGGUCCGCCCCCCUCCCCUUCCCUCCCCUCCCCCCAGCUCCCCAUUCCCGCGGCCCCGAUCCGGAUGCCGUGGGAGUGAAGUGUGUGAACAUGAUUUGGUAAAGCUAGCGGUGAGAGGCCAUGUAGGAGUACAUGGUGGGUUGUCUCACUGGAACCGUCCUUAAGCAUUGAGUUCUAUGUAUGUUGUCCAAUGACUCGAUACUACCACACAUUGGGAUCCUUAAUUGACUCUCUAGACUUAUUAACCGACUUGAUCUCUGUCCAGGAGUCGCAACUAGUUUCUGGUGUUUGUAGGUAGUGCUAUUUUUCUACCGAGUGGCACCCGGUAGGGUGGGCUUGGGUCAGACUAGGCACAGGUGGCACGGUGUACCAAGUGGCACCCGGAUGCUGGGCCUGGGAACCCUGCUCACAUCGUUUGGGGCCGUGAGCGACACCCCGGCCGGAUCUCCUUGCGGAUGGAACCCGAAUAAGCGAUAAACCUGGACUAGAGUCUUGUGUGGUUAGUCAGGUCGUGGCCGACACCCACGCCAGGAUUCCGCUUGAAGGUUGCCGAGAUACAUGACGUGUACAUGGCGGUAAGUGGCGAGAGCGUGUGUGAAGAAGUACACCCCUGCAGGGUUAACAUGAUCUACUCGAAUAGCCGGGUCCGCGGUUAUGGACUUCUUGGAUGCUUAUGUGGUACAUAGACAACUUGAAGUGGAUACUCUAAAAUGCUCAAGACAAGUGUGAGUGCUAUGGAUGGCCUUCUCGUAGGGAGACGGGGAUGAAUCCAUAGUGGUGUAUUGUGUGGUGGUUAGUGGACUCGUGUAUGUUGUCUCACCUCAAAGAAGUUUCUCGUAGUAGUAGAACAGGAUAGCCACUGAGUCAAAGCUGGCCUGCUGCAACUAAACCCCACAUUACCCUCUUGAUACAAAUGCAUGUAUGAUAGGAUCUGAUGUAAGUCUUGCUGAGUACCUUUGUACUCAUGUUGCUUUAUUUAUGUUUUUGCAGCGGAGACUUCGGUCUUACUAGUGUUCUCGUGGACUUCGACAAGUAGCUUGUACCUCAGCUACGAUCUUGAUAGGAUGUUGUAGAUACUCAGGCUCUUUAGCCUUUUUCAUUUGUAGAUGUCCAUACUCAGACAUGUAAUGCUUCCGCUUGUUGCUUGUAUGCUCUGUAUGAUGGGUCCUGUGACCCCUGUUUGCAAUAAAUGCUAUGAUGACUCUUUAAGCCUUAUCUAUAUGAGUUGUUGAGUUAUGCUGUGAUGCCUUGUUGUACAACACAUACUUGCAUGUUAUGCGUAUGUGUAAUGUGUAUUGCUAUGUGUGGGAUCUGACUAUCUAGUUGUUUAUCCUUGGUAGCCUCUCUUACCGGGAAAUGUCUUCUAGUGUUUCCAUUGAGCCCUGAUAGCUUGCUACUGCUCCGGAACACUUAGGCUGGCCGGCAUGUGUCCUUCUUCAUUCCUGUGUCUGUCCCUUCGGGGAAAUGUCACGCGGUGUCUACCGGAGUCCUGUUAGCCUACUACAGCCCGGACCCUCCGGAGUCCUGCUAGCCCAGUUGCUACAGCCCGGAUUCACUCGCUGAUGACCAACACAUUCGAUGCUGGGUCAUGUAUGCCUGUCCCUGUAAGUUAGUGCCACUUCGGGUUCACGACUAGCCAUGUCAGCCCGGGUUCUUUGCCAUAUGGAUGCUAGCGACGCUGUCAUAUACGUGUGCCAAAAGGCGCAAACGGUCCCGGGCAUGGUAAGGCGACACCCGUGGGAAUACCGUGCGUGAGGCCGCAAAGUGAUAUGAGGUGUUACAUGCUAGAUCAGUGUGACUUAGGAUCGGGGUCCUGACAGACUCCCUCAUCCGCGUUCUAGUAACGCUUCCGCUUAGCGAUCUUCAAAGGUAUGAAGAUGCUCAUCCUCUCCCUCUCUUAUUGCUAGAAUCUCCUAGAUUGAUCUUGGUGAUACAUAGGAAUUUUUUUAAUUAUUGCUACAUUCCCCAACAAACACAAGUCAAGCAAUCAACCUACACAUGCAAUUCUAAGAGUAUAGCAGCGGAAUGUAAAUCAUUGCAUAUGAAGGUAAAAGGGAGGAGUUUGUAGGGAGCAAACGCAAUAUAGACACGGAGAUUUUCGGCGUGGUUCCGAUAGGUGGUGCUAUCGUACAUCCACGUUGGAGACUUCAACCCAGGAAGGGUAACGGUUGCGCGAGUCCGCGGAGGGUCCACGAAGAAGCAAUCUUGUAUAUCCCACCAUGGCCAUCGCCCACGAAGAACUUGCCUCACUUGGGUAGAUCUUCACGAAGUAGGCGAUCUCCUUGCCCUCACAAACUCCUUGGUUCAACUCCACAAUCUUGACAGAGGCUCCCGAGUGACACCUAACCAAUCUAGGAGACACCACUCUCCAAAAGGCAAUAGAUGGUGUGUUGAUGAUGAACUCCUUGCUCUUGUGCUUCAAAUGAUAGUCUCCUCAACACUCAACUCUCUCUCACAGAUUUGGAUAUGGUGGGAAGAUGAUUUGAGUGCAAAGCAACUUGGGGAAGGCUAGAGAUCAAGAUUCUUGUGCUAAGAUUGGAAUGUCUUGGUCUCAACACAUGAGUAGGUGGUUCUCUCUCAGAAAAUGAGUAGUGGAAGUGUAGGCACGUUCUGAUGGCUCUCUCUCUAAUGGAGAAGGGGGUGGAGGGGUAUAUAUAGCCUCCACACAAAAUCUAACAAUUACACACAAUUUACCAAACUCGGUGAGACCGAAUAGUGAAACUCGGUGAGACCAAUCUGGUUCAAAAUGUGAAUGUUAGGAUUUUCGGUGGGACCGACAAUAUCAACUCUGUGAGACCGAUGCGCUAGGGUUAGGGCAAAACCUCAUAUCGGUGAGACCGAUCACAUGAACUCGGUGAGACCGACUUCAGUGAUAAGCAAACAGAGACUUGGUCAGGCAAACUCGGUGGGAUCGAUCGCUCAUUUCGGUGAGACCAAAAUGUUAUGAAAAGGAAACAGAGAGUUUGCAUUGCGAACUUGGUGUGACUGAUCGCUCAUCUCGGUAAGACGGAAACAUUACGAAGGGAAACCCAGAGUUUGCAAUCCCAUCUCGGUGAGACCGAGAUCUCUAUCAGUGAGACCGAGAUCUCUAUCAGUGAGACCGAACUGAUUUGGGUUUCUGGCUAUGGCUAUGACAAGUGAACUCGGUGGCGCCAGAUAGAUCAAAUCAGUGGGGCCGAGUUUGACUUUAGGUUUAGGACAUAUGUGGAAAUGAGAAAGUGGUUGAGGGCUUUUGGAGCAUAUUACUAAGCAUUUUGAGCAAGCAAGCCAUUAAGCAACACCUCAUCCUCUUUUAAUAGUAUUGGCUUUUCCUAUGGACUCAAUGUGAUCUUGGAUCACUAAAAUGAGAAUGAAGAGUUUUGAGCUUUUGCUAAUAUGUGUCCUUAGCAUUUUGAGGGUCCACAUCUCUAGUCCAUGCCAUGCCAAUCAUUGAACUUUCUGAAACAUUAAUCUUGAAUGGAUAUUAGGUCAAUGAGCUAUAUGUUGUUAUGAAUUACCAAACCCACCCGGGGAUUAGCUGCACUUUUAGUAUCUCAUCUAGUCACCUCCCGAAGCUUUUGGGGUCCAUUUUGGUCUAGAAAAAAUUAAUCCAAAGAUUUUUAUUGUUUGGACUUCGUUUGAUAUUGAUUUUCUGAGAAGCCAAAAACAGGAAAUGGCACUAGGUUAAUAGGUUAGUCCCCAAAAAAGAUAUAAAAUAUUAUAUAAUUCCAUAGAAAACAUCCAAGAUUGAUAAUAUAAUAACAUGGAAUAAUAAAAAAUUAUAGAUACGUUGGAGACGUAUCAGGCUACGCAUGGGCGAUGCAUUUGCUCAUCAACAUAGUGGCGAUUUAGUCUAGCAUGAUUCCUUAAACGAUUGGCGUCCUGAAGCAUAUAGGAAGUAUGUUUCUUCUGCUACUUGAUGAACUUGGCCAUCACUUACUUCAUCUCGACCAUGAUUUCUCUAUCAGUUAGAGGCCUUGGAGGAACAUGACGCAACUGAUGGAUGGAUCAAUGCCUUCAGUGUAAUAAGCAUAAUAACCUCAGGCACUAUCCAUGGGAUCAUAAAAUUGUCCAACGGUCAAAGGAGGAAUGAUGCCCAGGCUUGGAUCAGUUGAAACAAUUCUUCCCUAUAUCAUUGGAAGUCAUCAAAGGAGGAUGAGUUGGUGCUUCAAUAUCAGGUACAUGUGCAAUAUGCUCAGAUUAGGAAGAUACCCCCGUUAAGUAUGCUUGAUGAUUAAAGGCAUGAUCUAGGGAGCAUAAGGCUUCAACACCAGAGUAACACGAGAAGCAUCAUCACUGUCCUCAGAAAGAAGUUUCGACAUCAAAGCACAAAAAGUAGAAAAUUUGCCCUAACAGAUUCCUCAUAACACCUUGAUCAAGGCUUCAUGCUAUCCUUUCUUAGGAGCACUAUUUAAGAUAUCGACCGAUAUUUCGAUAAAUUGGCCGAUUUAUCGCUUACCUGUGUCUGACCGAUAAGAUAAAUUGGCCGAUAUGCCGAUAAACCUACCGAUUUACGCCUUAUCUUGGGUCGGCCGAUAAGUUCCCGAUAAGCGAUUUCCCCAACAUUGCUUAGGAGCAAGUGUCUUUACCAUGAUGCGAUACAAGGUCUUGGCAAGGAAAUUCAUAUAUUGAUACGAAGAAUUUUAGCACUCUCCUCUUGUGCAUUGAUAGGCCUCGGCUUGCGGAGCAUAUUUAGAAGCUCAGUCUUCACUAGAUCUAGAAUAUGCAGUCUCUGUUAUUCAGUGAUUGGAACCCGAAUAUGACAUAGAGUACUGAAUGCAAUGCUGAAUUCAUCUGCAAUAGCUUCGCACUAAGUAUGUUGUGUCAUCUAGUGAAGCUUACAGGUGCUAGUAUCCUCCAGACACAAAGAGAGUAGCAUAGAACUAAAUAAUCAAUUCUUCAUUCAAGCUUUCCAUGCCUUCGUAGGCGGACAAUCAACUCCCAACAGGAUAUACAAUCACUUUUUUUAACAAUCCAUGCUUUGUGGGAUGAAUUUUGAGAUGUUGGCAACAACAACAACAAAAACAAAAACAUUGCAACAACCUCAUGUAUAUCAUGUGGAACCCCUGGAAUGACUCACAUCUUUAGGCUCCUUCAAUUCAAAGGAACUUUAUAGGAUCCAGAGAAAUUGAACCCCGAGAAUUUUUUUCCUAGGGUGGUCAUCUGAUUCGUAGGAUUGGAGAUUUUUUGAAUAGGACUCAUUUGUACUUCACUUUAAAUGGAAGUUUCCAUCAGCUCAAAUCUCUUGAUAGAGUCACUUUAUUUUUCCUCUGCUAUCAAACACACUUUCAUCUGAAUCCUUGUAGUUUUGCAAUUCUAUUGGCUACAAGAGCACACGACACUCCAUCCUCCUUCAUUUUUCCUAUUCCUAUGUUUAAAAAACCAUGCAAAUAAAAAAUGCCCAUAAUGGGAAAGAUGAAUGCGAGAUGAAUUGAAAUGCUCAUUAGUGGUAGUGAUGGAGUAAUUUGUGAAGCCCAAAUGAAACACGCGUGUCAAAGUUAAAACCGACAAGAUACUCAGCUAACAUAUUAAAGAGCCACUCACAGCGCGCAACAAGCGGCAUGGUGAGCAAUGUUCAAAUCAUUCGAAUGGUAUGAUUAACUAAAAAAAUUAGGGUUCCCCCAUCUCCCGCCGGCGCCGCCGCCGAUCCGCCUCGUCUCCGGUGGCCUUAGGGCCAGGGGGACGCGAUGGAUCCCUACCUUUGUCGGUGGGAGGGCUCCCUUUUUAGAUGCGUUUUCGAGUUUUCUUAAGGUUUGUGUCCUGCUCAGGAAGGCGAGGCGGCGAUUCUCCCCGUCUAGCCCUGUUUCCGGUGGUGCAUCUAGCAUCGUCGGUUAUCCUGUGGAGGUGUGUCUCCGGUGGACCUGAUUUUGGUAGAUUUGCUCGGAUCUUGUCUUGAGGUUGUAUCCUUCCGAUCUACGCUACUCUUCAUCGGCGACGGUUGCUAUUCUGGUGUGCUGGUCCUAUAGGGCCUUAGCACGACGACUUCCCGACUAUUUACUACAACAAGUUUUGCCCGGCUCCCGUGAGGGAGAUGCCUUGACGGCGGCGCGCCUUCGGCUCGCUUCAGUGUUUGUAAUCGUCGUCAGGUGGUCUAUAAAUCUAGAUAUAAUUUUUAUUAUUUCUUGUGUUCAUCGUACUACCAUGAUUGACCUCAUAUUUUUUAUUUAAAAAAAAGCCAUUCAGUGAAUACAUAAAUAAAAGCUAAAAAUGAAAAACCACUCCUACAAAACUACCGCUGACAGUUUCACAUCGCCCAACCCCUGGGAUACGCCCCCACGGAUAUGCUAUAAAUUACAGCCACAUGUCUUCCGCCAUCGCCUUCCAUCGGCGGCACAGCAGCAGCACACCGACUAGAAAAGGCGCCCAGCCCCAGAGCAGGAGCGAGCGAGCGAGCGACCCACCGAAUUUCCCUAAAAAAAAUAAGGAGAAAAAGGGAGAAGCCAAGCCGAGCCACCGAAUGAUUCCGCUGUGCGCAUCCUCCUCCCCCUCCACGCCCGCUAUAAUAGCGCCACGCCCUCGUCGCCUUCGUCACCGCACCACCACUCCCUCCCUACCUCACUCCCGAUCUCCCCACCGCCUCCACCUCCUCGCCUCCUCCUCGACCCCCCGCCCCCUCGCGCGCGCCCACCGGCCCGGCUCCGUGGUCACCGCAGCGGAGAUGGUGUUCUCCGUCACGAAGAAGGAGACCAAGCCCUACGAGGGCCAGAAGCCCGGCACCUCCGGCCUCCGCAAGAAGGUCCGCCCCCCUCCCCUCCCCUCCCCCGCCUCCCCAUUCCCGCGGCCCCGAUCCGGAUGGAUCUCAUUGUGCCGUGCCGUGCCAGCGCCGUUAGGUUCGUCGGGUGUCCCGAUCCGCGAUGGCCGCUCCCCUCUGUAUUUUUUUUAACCCCGGGUGUCGGGCCCCGCGAUCUCGCCCGCCCCAUGCACGUGCGCGGGAGGGAUUUCGGCCUCUCCAGCUCUGGGAAAUCGGGCUGAUCUCCAAUGGUUCGGUUCAGCGCGUUUCGGUGGGAUCCGCUGUUCCGUUGGCAACGUUGGGUCGAGGCAGGAGGGCGAGUGUGAUUCUAAUUGUGUCGUCUGAUCCGGGAGGUUCGCGCUGGCGCAGAUCAUCAGUUUCGUUAAGGAUCACUGGAUCUCGCUGAGUGCGGUUAAAUUGCCUGCAAACUGCCUGCCAAUGGUGCCACGCAUGGCGAUGAUCUGUUACCAUGGCUGACAGCCAUACUGGAAUGUCCUGUUCCGUUUGGGAUCUGGCAUGUAGCGGUGCCAUGGGUUGUCUGAUCGUUUUUGGACUCUGCCUCGCAUUUUUUUUGUUCUUCUGCGGGGACCCCAUCAUAUUAUAUUUAAGUAAGGAGUGCAUUCACGUGGUUUGUAAACAGGACGAAGCAGAAGAUGUUAACACUCUGAAUGUGUAGUGCGGUACAGUGCUACAGCUGUACAUCACUGACCUGUUGCUCAAAUGCUGUUCUGGUUUCGUUUGUCUCUGGUGACUGACGACUAUCCAUGUUAGAUGUGAUCCAGUUCAUGUUUGGGUGCAAUUUUGAUUGCGGGAGAGUUCUUUUUCAUUGUUUUCACCCUUCAUAAAUAAGUAUAAACAAACAGUAAAAUGUUUGUUAUUUAAUGGGCUAUAGAGCAAUAAAUGCUUGCUAGUGUUAACGCAGCCAAAUCUAUGCCAUCUGUAUAUCUGGUUUUAGUUUAUCUAACAUAACAUUUUGUUCCUAGCCAGCUAACAUUGCCUUAAAGGAAGAUAAAAGGGUGAUAGUUUAGUUCUAUGAUACUACAUACAUAAAAUGAUUGAAUGUUCAUGAAUGAUGACCUCUGAUUGCUUAUGGCAUGGCCGUUCUCUUGUUAGUUCUGUUAUUUCUCUGUUGUACUACUUUCGAUUUUGCCAGUGGCCCAGUACAAUUCAUUUGUUGUAUUUGCUUAUUCAUAAUUGAAUGUUACUGUUAUCAGGUUACAGUAUUCCAGCAGCCUCAUUACCUCGCGAAUUUCGUUCAAUCAACAUUUAAUGCCCUUCCAGCUGACCAAGUAAAAGGUUAGUUGCUUAUGCUGCUUGUUAGAAAAUAAUCCUGUACUGCUAGGCACGAAGAAGUACCAAUAAAUAUAAUUGAAGUCACUUCCAUUUCCUGGUAUCAACUUUAACUAUCAGAUAACGAAAAAUAACCAGAUCUAUACAACUUUCAAAAUGUCAGAAGGGUUUAAUUAAUUAUGAUUGAGCAUUUUUACACAUAUUUCUUUGUCAUUUACCUUGUAAAUGAUGUUACCAGUGUUUCUUGUCUUGUCUCUGCAGUCCUUCCUCAUAACCACUAUCAUUUCUUUCCUUGUAGGUGCCACCAUUGUUGUCUCCGGCGAUGGGCGCUAUUUCUCAAAGGAUGCUGUUCAGGUGCUUUGCGAUAAACCGCCCUCUCCUUCCUCAAAAUGACUGAAGUUCUAGGAUUGUCCUAAGUCAAACUUCAUUAAGUUUAACCAAGUCUAUAUAAAAAUAUGUCAACAUCUACAAAAUCAAAUUUACUUUGUUAGAUCCAUAAUGAAAUGUAUUUUCAUAUCAUCUAUAUUUUGAUAUCCUAGAUCCUUGCGGAUUUUUCUAUAAUGUUUGACUUAGAAAAAUCCUAGAACUUCAACUGUUUUGGAACGGAGGGAGUAACCCGUAUGCUUCGCGUACCUUUUGCUAACCCCAUUUUGUAGAAUAUGUAUAGUUUUAUGGUAGCUGCUGCAGUUUUCCACUUGCGUAUUGUAGUUGUGCCGUGCUUGUUCUUAAAAAUAUGCUGGCCAAAAUUUAGCCUAUUGGCUGCUAAAAACUUAAAUAGCAAAUCACCUGUUCUAUGCAACUCCUUUAUAUGUCUGACUUCUAUUACUAUUAAGACAUUUUCAUUUUCAUUGAAUGACUAUCACAACUUGAUAUUAUUUUCCUUGUUAUAGAUCAUUGCAAAAAUGGCUGCUGCUAAUGGAGUAAGACGUGUCUGGGUUGGACAAGACAGUCUCUUGUCAACUCCAGCUGUAUCUGCUAUCAUCCGUGAAAGAAUUUCUGCAGAUGUAAGUCUUGUUUCUUCCAGUUUGGCAAGUGUGCAUGCAUUGCAGCAUAUCCCAUAUAAACCAUUGUUGUAGCUGAACCAUGGAAGUAGUUUUAUAUAAGUGGAUCAUGUAUAUAAAAACAUGACAUAUAGUAGUUUGGUUGUGACACUAUACAGUGCCUACCAGCAAAGGAUGUCUGAGUUCAAACCUCUUUAACCCGCACAUUGUAUUAAACUGUUCAUGAGUUACCAACUAAUCCUAUUGAUCCCAGCUGUCAGGUAAUGGUGGCAGAUGGCAAAUGAAGCAUUAUCACUAAAUGAAAUGUUUAAAUGAACAAAUAUGACAUAAUUGUUUUAUUGUUUGCCUCUUUUUUCUGUCUCGACAAAGUAUCUAUAUAUUGAUUUAUUGACACAAUGAACAACAGGGCGCAAAGGCUACUGGUGCCUUCAUUUUGACAGCCAGCCACAACCCAGGUGGUCCAACCGAGGUAACAUGCUUAGGAAGUUAGGAUGUUCACUGUUACCAUCUCUGGCAAAUCAAGGCUGUUGGUGUUCUGUGUAAAUCAACACCUUUUAUUGGACUUUCCAGGACUUUGGAAUCAAAUACAACAUGGGGAAUGGUGGACCCGCCCCUGAGUCUGUUACCGAUAAGAUCUUCUCUAAUACAAAGACAGUUACUGAAUACCUCAUUGCGGAGGACCUUCCAAAUGUACGAUUUGGUGCCUGCUUGUAUUUUUGUUCUCUUUCUGUUCCCUUUGAUCCCAAGGUAGUGGAAUCCCCAUUUACUCUUCUGUGUUCCCACAUUGUAGGUUGAUAUUUCUGUGAUAGGUGUCACUUCCUUCACUGGACCUGAAGGCCCUUUUGAUGUCGAUGUCUUUGACUCUGCUACAGAUUACAUCAAGCUAAUGAAGUAUGUAGCUUCUGUUUCAAUACAUCAAAUAUUAUGUUUCAAGUAUCAUUUGCUGGUUUCUUUGACUGAAAGUGAUUUUUUGUUGCAUUUAUGAAGGGGAAACACUAGAACCUCAUAAAACAAAGAAUAAAAACAUGAUGAUUAGUCAUUUCAUUAACAGUGUGCAUUCAAUUCCAGGACAAUCUUUGACUUCGAGUCUAUUAAAAAGCUUCUGGCAUCUCCAAAGUUCUCGUUCUGGUACUUAUCUUUAGCCUAAAUUUUGUUGUCAUCCUCCUAUUAACAGCAAAUAGCAUAUCUGAACCCUCGGUUUGCAAUUUUAGUUUUGAUGGUCUUCACGGUGUUGCUGGAGCUUAUGCAAAGCGCAUGUUUGUGGAUGAGCUCGGCGCCAGUGAAAGCUCACUGUUGAACUGUGUUCCAAAGGUAACACUCUUCUAUCAUCACAAGUUGAACAUGGAGUUUGGGUUGGUGUUAAUUUGUCAUUUGUGUUCUUACAGGAAGACUUUGGAGGUGGUCAUCCAGACCCUAACCUCACCUACGCAAAAGAACUGGUUGAUCGGAUGGGUCUUGGGAAAACCUCAAAUGUUGAACCCCCUGAAUUUGGUGCCGCAGCUGAUGGGGAUGCUGACCGCAACAUGGUUCUUGGUAAAAGGUAAUGUUUUGACUACAUUUGUCAAAUCUACAAAAGCACUUGAGGGAGUUCAUAAUGAAUCUUCUGUCCUAUUCUAGAUUCUUCGUGACACCAUCAGAUUCGGUUGCCAUUAUUGCGGCCAAUGCUGUUCAGUCAAUUCCUUACUUUGCUUCUGGCCUGAAGGGAGUUGCCAGGUAAAAUGGUCUCCUGCAUAUUGAGCUUCUACCAUAUGCUCUUUUCUUUCUGAUUAAUACUUCCGCUAGUCGAAUCAAGGCUUUAAGUGGCAAAUAGCACUGCUGUCUGCAGUAAACACGCAUGAUUUCCUAUACGGUUGUGCAUCCAAAUAAGCAUUUCAGGGACUAGGCAGGAUACCGCGGUAACUCUCCAUUAACGAUGGUAACUGGUCGGUUACGAUCAGUUAACAGAAAUGCUUUGCCCAUGGAUACUCCAUAUCUACAAUGGGCAAGUCUGGAGGCUGGAGCCAUGCUGUUUUGCCAGGCUUGCUACCAUUUAAAAAAACAUCGGAUACAUAAGAUUGAAGAAAUUACUAGCUAGAGAAAUACAGAUGUAAAGUAAAAUAAAUUAUACUUGACUGAAGAGCUGGCUUACUAGCUUAAACUGCUAGCUAUGUUUGUCUGACUGGUACAGUUAAGAAAUUUUGUGUACUGGGGUAUUUAGUUAAGUUGAGUACCAUCUUAUGAUUUGCAUCCAUGUUUAUGUUGAAUAAUGUACUGUGUGCCCAAGAUUACAAUCGCCAUCCUACCCAUGUUUUAAAAUUUUGUUGUGCUUCAGUGCUUCACUUUUUCCUGAUCCAUUGGUGAACUUGCAGGAGCAUGCCCACAUCAGCUGCACUUGAUGUAGUUGCAAAGAAUCUAAAUCUCAAGUUCUUUGAGGUAAAGUGUUAUGAUCAUCAAUCGCUAUAUUUCAAAUAUAGGACAGAUAUAUGACGAAGACCAUGCUUUUCAGGUGCCUACUGGGUGGAAGUUUUUUGGAAACCUGAUGGAUGCUGGAAUGUGCUCAGUUUGUGGUGAAGAAAGCUUUGGCACGGGUAAUGCUUGGGGACUCAUCUUGAUCACAAUAACAUGCAUCUGAAUUAAUUGAACAAAUUGGUCUUGCCUUAUGGUAAAAUGCCAUGUAUUCUGGCAUGUAACACCUCUCUUGGGAUAUCCAGCAAACUUGUUUUUCCUUUUGUAAAAAGGAACAGAACAGGUGACAUGAUGUUCUGAAAAAAAAGAACUUAUUAUUUGGAUUUCCAUGAAUGGAUCGACAUGAAGCUGAAAGACGUGUUGAUAUUCAUAGCGCUAACUGGACACGAUAUGGUCGUGGGGUUGCUGAUAUCCUCUACCUAUUUUAGGUUCUGACCACAUCCGUGAAAAGGAUGGUAUUUGGGCUGUUCUAGCUUGGCUAUCUAUUCUAGCUUACAAGAACAAGGACAACCUUGGAGGAGAUAAGCUUGUUACGGUUGAGGACAUUGUUCUUCAGCACUGGGCUACUUAUGGUCGCCAUUAUUAUACACGAUAUGACUAUGAGGUACUUCAUUCAACUGAGGUGUGUGUAUAUACUGCACAUUUGAUAACAUGCUAACAAAACCAUUUGUUAUCGAAGAAUGUUGAUGCAGAAGCUGCCAAGGAACUUAUGGCUAACCUAGUCAAGAUGCAGUCGUCCCUGUCUGACGUUAACAAGUACGUAUGUUACUGUCGCACUUAAUGCACAAAUGGACUUCAUGCACAUAUUUAAGCCUCUUCGAUUUGCUGUGAAACUAAAGCGUACUAUCAUAAGCACUGAAGUAUUUGGAGCUUUUUAUUUCAUGUCACUGACAAAGUGUAUGCAUUGGAAACUACAUCUAAAUUGUAUCUUUUCCUCAGGUCGAUCAAGGAGAUCCAGCCUACUGUUGCAGAUGUGGUCUCGGCUGAUGAGUUUGAGUACAAGGACCCUGUUGAUGGUUCUGUCUCCAAGCAUCAGGGUAUCCGGUAUCUCUUCGGAGAUGGUUCCCGACUGGUAUGGAAUCUCGUGCUGUUAUUUAUUGGUGAACACGUUUGUUUAACCAAACCAACACAAGUAGCAUAAAACCUAGUCUUCAUACUCAAAUUUGACCUUGCAAAUUUGCAAUAUAACAUUGGCAGAGUUGAUCCUUUUGGGGGAAACAAAUGCUGGUGAAGGUGAACUAACACUAAAUCUUGCUAUUGUAGGUGUUCCGCCUUUCUGGAACUGGUUCAGUUGGUGCUACUAUCCGUAUUUACAUUGAGCAGUAUGAGAAGGAUUCUUCCAAAACCGGGAGGGCGUCGAGUGAUGCUCUUUCCCCGCUGGUAAGAUCCAACUCCUCAUGCUUCUAACAAAUAACCAAAACAUUUUGGCGAGGAUGCAGAUCUGACACUUCUUUUUAUCCAGGUUGAUGUGGCCCUGAAGUUUUCAAAGAUCAAGGAGUACACCGGCCGAUCCGCCCCCACCGUGAUCACAUAAAUUUUGACCUAGAUAUGCGCCGAGGCCGCGUAUGAAGUUCAUUUCUGGCCUCAUGUUCGAUAGCCUUUUCUUACAUCUCCCUUCACACCUGAAUAAAUGUAUGUGCCAGACCGUCUCCGUUUCGUUGCCUGUACUUACUCUGCUGCCGGUACAGUAUAUGGCCGUGAUCUUGUCCCAGUGAUUGUAAUCAAGAGUGUUUCUUCGUGCAAUGCAAUAUAUUGACGUGUUACUUUUUUCGUUGAGUACUCGUGUACCAAUCUUAUCUUGAACAUCCAAAGGAAAACAUAGGAAUUUCUGAAGGAUAUUGUUCGCAUAGGAAAUAUUCCUUUGGUACCGUUAGGAAGAACGGAAUCACCGUCUUACUUUCCUUUGAAUUCCCUAUGGAAUGGGCUAUUCUAUCGAAAAUUUGGAGUAAGCCAAAUGAGCCCUUGAUGUUUUCUUCUCUGUCUACAACUUUUUCUUACCAAUGUGAGAUUGAAACGAUUUUGAGUUUUUUGUUGUUGUUGUUGAUUACCCUAUGCAUUGCAACGAUUGAUGCAGACCACAAAUAAGUGCCAUGAACUUGGGUGCCAUGAACGCUUAACACGAGAUGUUUGCAGGCCACAGGCAAGUUCAGGACGAGGAACAUACAUCCAGCCACACAAGCACAUUACAUUACAUGUUAUUGCUUUAUCAUCAUUAUUCAAACCCUGCCAGUCUCAUCACUGCACACACACACACACACACACACACACAACCACGGGCACUCACACAGAAGACAGAACCCAUCAAAGAUGACAUCUACUUGCCAUUGGAGAGGCCGGCCUUGCAGAGGAUGGUGGUCUCGGCGAUCAGGGAGGUGACGACGUAGGGAUCCAUGUUGGACCCCGGCCUCCGGUCCUCGAAGUAGCCCUUGCCUUCCUUCUCGGUGUCGCGGCCCACCCGCACCGACGCGCCGCGGUUCGCCACGCCCUGCAAAAAACAAACAAACAAUGCAGCCGGAAAGCAGUCAGAGAAGAGCAGCAAUGGUGGUGACUCUGAACUCUGAACUCCCCGUGGGGCUUUCCUACUUACCCAUACGAAGGUGUUGAUGUCGGCGGUCUCAUGGCGGCCGGUGAGCCGGCGCUCGUUGCCCUCACCGUAGGCGGCGAUGUGCUCCAUGUGCCGCGCCUCGAGCUUCUUGAUCGCCUUCUUGAUCACCUCGUACCCGCCCUCGCUCCUCAUCGACUUGGUGCUGCAUUCAGACAUCAGCAGGAUCAUGUCAUAACCCAUAACACAAGACUAGAGUAUAGCAGACGGCGAUGCAUCCCUUGGCUUGCUCUCUUUAUCUUACCUGUAGUUUGUGUGGGCACCAGCACCAUUCCAUUCUCCCUACAGUCACACACAUAUGCAAAGUUACAUAUGGCUGGCUGGCCAGUGGAACGGCAGAUCAAGGUGACACUUGUGGCACAAGAAGAAGAAGAAGAAAUGCUCACCGGGAUCGGCUUGGGGUCGAAGGAGACGACGACGCCAGCAAUCUCAGUGAUCCUCUAUUGGGUUACACAAAGGAAAAAUUUCUUAUCAGCACAAGUUGCAUUUUAUUCAUUCAUUCAACCAGAUGAGGCGGUUUCAUUUACCUCCAGGAUGUAGCGAGCCGCCCAGAGCUCGUCGCCGGCCGAGAUGCCGACGGAAGGGCCGACUUGGAACUCCCACUGUCCUGGCAUGACUUCUGCAUUGAUGCCGCCGAUGUUGAUGCCGGCGUAGAGGCAGGCCUUGUAGUGUGCAUCGACGAUGUCGCGCCCGUAAGAUUUCUCCGCACCCGCGGCGCAGUAGUAAGGUCCCUGUCACACACAUUUUGCUCUGCCAGUGUCACUAUCGGUCCAACAUUUCUGAACUGUUGUCAGCAAGUGCUAAGCUAACAUCAUUUACAGCCAAGUUUCCUCCCUUACUUAGUGGAGUGAUCUUGGCUAAGACUUGCUCUUAAUAAGAGUGCUGCAAUAUGCAGCAUGUCUAGUUAAGUUACCUGAGGGCCAGGGUAACCCCCUAGUGGCCAGCCAAUGGGCCAGUUGGUGUCCUUCUGAAGAAGGGUGUACUCUUGCUCAAUCCCAUACCUUACAUUUCAGGCAACAUAAGGGGGUGUCACAAGAUUAAUUGCCACAUGAAUUAAAUUAUGUGCAAAAAUUAAAGUAGUGGACUAAUUUCUAUAGAACAGAGCAACUGAGUACCGACCAUGGUUCUUCAGCCUUGACCUCGGGAUGGCCGAAUAUCCUCGCCGCGUUGUACCGCUUGUUGCUCGGAAUCGGCUCUCCGUUAGGCGCAUAGCAGUCACAGAUGACCUAAACGCGCGAGGUUAAAAAAAAAUACUAGAGGUGAAAAAGCACUCAUGAACAACUUUUCAAAAUUCAUUAACACAAAUAAACAAUAACACGAAAUCCAUGAAUGAAAAAACAAGGAGGAUCUUGAUCAUUCUUAUAUACCAGGAUGUUGUUCCCCUUCCUGAAUGGGUCCCUGAAGAUGGCUUGAGGGCUUGGCAGGAGCAAGACAUGAAAUUCAGAUUAGCUCAGCCUCAAGGCACGCAAGCCAAGGCAUGAUGGUUAUGUGAAGAGUGCAGUCAAGGGCUUACCAGAGGAUGACCUCGCUGUCGUCGCCCGUGGCCUGGCCGGUGCUGGAGCCGUCGAAAUUCCAUUUUGGGAGCUUGCUGGGGUCAUCAACGGGCCCGGGCAGCGUCUGAUUGUGAAUAUCCAAGGCAUCAAAAGGGUCACAGGAAGUGUUAGGAACAUAUCAUGCUUGCAGUGCCGUCACAGCUUAGACAAAAAGGAGCCGGCCGGCAAAGUAAUGAGUCGUCGUGGGUUAGGCUUACCCUGGCUUUGCUCCUGACGUCCAUGCCCGUGCCGCCGACCCUGGAUUAGGCAAGGUGUAUAUGGAAGUAGGUUAGUAAUAAGGCAUAAAAGUACGAUGCCGAUUUCCCCAAUUUAUUAACUUAUAAUGUACUCCCUCCCUCCCCCCUACAAAAAUAUAAAAGCGUUUAGAUCAAAGAUCAUUUAGACCAAAACACUCUUAUAUUUCUUUACAGAGGAAGUACUAGUAUCAUGCAGAUACAAAUCAUGACCAGCAACACCUAGCCAAGGCAUAGCCAAGAUGCACAUAGCCAAACAAAGAAAAAAAGAGAAAAAAAAAACAUAUUGGCAACAGAUCAAGGCCUAAAAACAAGAGAAGGGUUUUUACUGGGCUCAAAAUUUGAGAAACGCACUAGUAUAGUAAACUAAACUAGAAAGAAACGUGAGAUGGGAUUUGUGGGGAGGAAAAAAAUAUGUGGCCUGCCUGACUUGGAAGGAAGGUGAGAUGGGAGGUUGGGACAGUGCUGAGGAAGAUGGAGGAAGAGGGAUGUUACCAUAUGUACUCGGCGAUGAUCUUGCCGGUGCAGCCGGACAGGUCGAGGCUGAGAAGGUCGGCGAGCGGAGACAUGGCGGAUGCCGGCGUGCUGUUCUUCUUCUUCCCCCGGAGCCUACCGGAGAUGGAGAGGGAGAGGGAGAGGGAGAGGUGUUGUAGUGGCAAAUGGUAGCUCUCUGGGAAAUGCGGGACAGGGGAGCGAGCCGAGUGGUGCCGCCGUAGCUGGCUCUGCCCCUCUAUAAGUAGCGUGGCGACGGGGGAGGAGGCCCUGAAAGGUUGGUGGGCGUUGCGGGCGGGGGGAAACGGAAACCGAUGGUACGUACGGCUGUCCUUGCGUGCGUACGUUUCCGCGGCCUGCGCGCACGGAACACCUUUUCUACUGUACCAGUACACGGGACGCCAUGCGUACGGACAACCGCGCUUCGCUGAUCCGCACACCACAUCAGGAGCACUUCAUUAAUUAAAAUUAAGAAAGCCCUGCUGAAAGUGCCAUUCACUCGGUCGGGGAAGGAGAAAUUGGCUAUGGCUAUGGCUGACUUCCCCUUUGCUUAUGCAUGAAGCAGCUGGCUAGCCAGUGCUACUACUCCAGUGGUGAAGGGCAAAUUCACGUUCUCUUGUCCCGGCGUCCGUGCGGAUCCCUGUGGACUGACUGACUGACCCGAUGGGUCAAAGCUAGACGGUGACAUGAGUGAGACGUGAGCCACACCUGCAAGAUACUCUAUGUAGGAAAGCGACCACUGCUACUCCGUGACCAUCGCAGUAGCAAAUUUAACCAUGACUUCGGGACAUGUGUGAGCAGCUAAGUUGUUGUGCCUGUCGUGUCAUCCCCCUCGUGACAUCGUUAGAGCAACUCCAACGGGGCGACCCAAACCAGCACGCGUUUUGUCCGUUUUUGUCAGGCGGACGUGCGCGUCCGUAUUGUAAAAUGGGUCGGCUUGACCAUCCAACGGGGAGGCAGACCCAAAUGUGCCGGCAUGGCAUGCAAAAAAAUAUGCUUGCACGAAAUAAACUUAAAAUAAACAUAAUAAAACAUAAGUGGCCGGUCGCCGGCCAAAGUCCACUUAAACAUAAUUAAAACAUUAAGAAAAAAGACUGCGCCGCCUUCUGCCGCCCCGCACGCUGCCCUUGGCGGCGCCGCUGCCGUCGCCAUCGCCGGUGAGGUCGAUGAAGACGGGAGCAGGGCCUACCCACCCGAACGCCGCCUGGGUAUGCUGCCAGGACAACCUCCUCCGGCGUCUGCUGGGGCGGCGGCAUUGCGGCUAGCCGCGCGCGCUCCUCCUCCUCCUCCUUGAGCCGGAGCGCCUCCGCAUCGCGCUGGAGCAUGGCCUCGUAGCGCAUCUGCUGCUCGCCGUCGGCCUGCUCCUGGCGAGCCAGUGUGCCUUCCAGCGCUCGAGGUGGGCGGCCUCCCGCUCCGGCGUUGCGGCGAAGUGGACGGGGGGCGCGCUCACACACUCGCGGUACUGGCCGAGUAGGCCUCCUCCGGCCAAGUGGGUGGAGACGGGGAGCGCUUCCGCGUCGGCUUCGGCUACGACUUGGGCUGGAUGGGCGGCGACGGUGGCGGUGGCGGCUGGAACAACGGGGUGUGGACGGAGUCCCCCGCCGCCAACAGGGCGAGGGCUUGCUCCAGCCCAUCCCAGCGCGCGUCCUCCUUGAGGCGGCUAGCCUCCAGCGCCUGCUGCAGGGCCUCCUCGAGGGCGGCAGCGGGAACGACGUGGGGACGGCGUCGACGCCCGAGCGCCGUUGCUCCUCGUGCUCGAGGGCGAACCAAGCCUCCCAGUUGGGAGAGUCGGCGACGUACUCAAGGCAGCCGACACUGCUCCGGCGUGAGCUGCGCGCGGCGCUGGUGCACCUCGUCGUCGUGUGCCUGCUGGCUCCGCAGAACCGCUGACACCGGGAUCCGCUGGGGAUCUAAGUGCCAAUGGUGCGGCAGCGUCACGUCAGGGUAGGGGAGGGGCUGCCUGUACUCCCAAUGCCACCGUGCUUGGUGCACCGGGAUGUGCAGGUGCCGAUGUUCAGGGCGUAAAUGGGCCGCCGGCAGAGGAGGAGGGGGAGGGGAGCACGGGAGGACGACAUGCCGGGGGUGCACUUGCCCUUGCCCUUGUCAUUGUUGCCGAAGAAGCCCAUGGCGGGCUAGGGUUUCCUGUCACCGGUGAUGAAGCAAGGGAGUGGUGGGGGGCUAGAUGUGGACAGGAGAACUGGAUGAGGCCGCCCACCCGUCGCACGCGUGCUUAAAAAAGGAAGCUUCCAGAGGCUGACAAGUGGGCCCGCUGUCGGUGGUCGUCAUAAAUAUGACGACCGGUGGCGAUUGGGUGGCCUACAGGUGGGGACGCGGCAGACGCCGAUGAGACGCGCGGCGCGUAUGCUUCGCAUCCGUGCCGACGCAUUCUAGACGCAAUUUUGGGCUGAAAAUGGGUCGGCGCGGACGCGAUUUGCGUUUGGGUCGCCGCGUUGGGCCUGCACUUUUGUCCGCGCCGACCCAAACGGACGCAUGCGGAUGAAAUGGGUUGCCCCAUUGGAGUUGCUCUUACCUCGUGGACGACAAAAUACAUUCACCUAACGAGUUCGUUAGGAAAUGGACAACCAACUCUAGUAGACUGCAGACCCUUAGGGCAUCUCCAACGCGCCCUUCAUCAUCAAAAUGCUGACAAACGUCUAGGGUCUGGAUUCUUUGUGUCAUCCAAUGUCAUACAUCAAAGGGUCUGUGAAUCAGCUUGACCGUCUGCAGAAUUAUCGUAGUACCCCCUGUACGACAGUCUAGUUCGCAGGAGGGCCGGACUUUCUUGUAAACUUGGUUGUGGCUGAGAGGCCUCCUUGAGCAAUGGAAUUCCCUCCCCCCCGCAAAAAUAAUAAUCAGUUUGACCGUUUGAAUUCUCAUAAACCGAAGCAUAGCUGGAGAAGGUUUGCGAACCUUCGGACAGCCACCACGUAGGCAUCUGACACACUCGUCCCACACAAAAACCCAUCUAGAGCCCCGCUUUUCUCUCUCCGACCCCUCACCCUUGCUCUGAAUCCACAUAAUUUGACCUCCACCGCCACCGUUGUUGUAACACCUACUCCGCCGCCCAAGCCUUGCCAAGCCUUCGCCGCUCCGCCUGGGUGCCAGCCACGACUUGCCUAUGCCCUCCCACUAGUUUUGCCACUGUCAGGUAACGUCCACCUCUGCACAUUAUUUUCCAUGGGGCACCACGACCGACAAGUGUUUGGCUAAAUGUCAUGACUAAUUCUUUUGACAUUUUUGUUGCUUAGUUUGAAGCAAACACGAUGGAUUUGGCUGCAAAGUACUUCGACCUUGAGUUCAUGGAUUCGUCCCCGUCAGAUGAGGACGAAUUUGAGGAUAAAACAACAACGAUGCAAGCAGUAAGUGAAGAUGUGGAACGUGCGGUGGAGCAUGACCCCAAUUUCAAGGGAUCGAUCAAGGGACAUCGAGUGUUGAAUCGACAUAGGGCACGAGGGAAUAUGAUGCUGAUGGACGACUAUUUUGUCCCCCAUGAGCUAUUCGAGUCCUUUUUUCAUCAUCGAUUUCCGAUGAGUUGAACUAUGUUUGACUGCCUCUACAAUGAUGUACAUGCCUAUGAUGACUACUUCAUAUUGAAGAAGGAUGUCGUUGUGAAUAAUGGAUCCUCUGGUUACUAGAAGUGCACAUAUGCAUUGAGGAUGCUUGCCGGUGGCAUCGCAGAUUUGUGGGACGAGUACCUAUGAAUGUCCGAACCACAUGUCCCGAAGUCGUGGUCAGGUUUGCUACUGCAUUGGUCAAGGUAUUUGGACUGGAGUACUUUAGGGAACCAACUACCAAAGACACUACAUGACCUAUGGGACUUUCAUAAGAAAGAGGAUAGUCAAGUAUGCUCGGAUCCCUAGAUUGCAUGCACCGACCAUGGAAGAAUCACCCAUAUGCUCUACAAGAGCAAUACCAGGGCCAUUGCAAGAAAUACACAUCAUUCUUAAAGUAGAUGCAUCACAAGACAUCUGGAUUUGACACUCUUUAUUUGGAAUGCCCGGGUCUCACAAUGACAUCAAUGUGUUGCAGUGGUCUCCAUUGUUUGCAAGGUUGUGUGUGUGAGAGAAGCCCCUCUGUGCAACUAUACCAUCAAUGGUCAUGACUACAACAUGGGCUAUUAUCUUUGUGAUGAUAUUUAUCCUUCGCGUGCAACCUUCAUUAAGACCAUCUUCGAUCCAAGGGGUGAGAACAGAUUUAACUUUUCGCAAAGAUAAUAAAGAGCUAGAAACAAUGUCGAGAGGGCAUUUGGAGUGCCCAAGAUUGUUUUGCAGUUGUCCGUGGACUUGCAAAAAUAUUGGAUCCAGGAACAUUAUGGGACAUGAUGACAAAUUGUGUGAUCAUGCACAACAUGGUUUUGGAGGUUGAGGGUGACAAAGUUCGCCGCGGUCUGGAAUUUGAGCCCAUGGGUGAUCCUAUCCUACUUCCAGAGCAAAAUCUGAAUUCGAUGACGUUUGAGAAUUUUAUCCAUAUGCAUCAACAGAUUUGCCAUUGAGCAACUCAUGAGCAGCUUCAGAAUUAUUUGAUUGAGCAUUUGUGGGCGCUUCGAGGGGAGAACUAAAAAUGUGUCCGAAUAAAUUGAAUUCAAAUUCGAACCAUUCUAUGGAAAGUUCACGUCUGGACUGUAAUAUUUAUGUUUGAAUUAUUGUAGCAUUGGAAUAUUUUUACAACAUGAUUAUGGAUGAAGGAUGAAGUGGUCCAAAUAUAGGAAAAAAGUGGCAGACAUUGGGUACAUAGAGUUGGACGGGCCGCCCCCUAUCCCCUGUCCAAGGACAUCAAAUAUACAUAGUAUGAAAAAUAUAUCUAAUGAUGAAUCUAAUGAAGCUAAUUUGGUAUUGUAGAUAAUUGUAUAUUUUCCUAUAAAUUUGGUCAAACUUAAUGAAGUUUGACUUAGGACAAACCUAGAACUUCAAACAUUUUUAAACAUAGGGAGUAGGAUGCACUGACCGCUCUAAUCAUUAGGAGUUUUCUACAAAUAAUCACCUAAUACUUAGAAUCCUAACUAAUCAUGUCAAGAUGGACACAAUCCUAAGGAAGCUAUCAUCUACACAAAUACAUAGAAACAAAUAUCUUGUUGGUGAAAGCUCCAUUGGAAUACUUAAAAAAACCCUAACUGAAUGAGUAGUUUUAGAUGGUCUUUUAUCUCACUUUUUUGGCUUUUGCAGAGUCAUAUAAUCCAAAGUCUCACCCUUUACAAUUUAUGUUUAUCUUUGCAAACAUGAACCCCAUUUAAACACUAAUUUUAUAUCAUAACAAUUCAAUUUCUAUGUUUCGACCACAUAUUAUUCGACAACAUUUCAAAUUCAUAAUUUUAAAUGUUCAAAUUAAAAAUCACAUAAAACUUAUGUUAUAAAUGAACCAAAAUACACACCACAUUAUCCCAAAUAGUUUGUCAUCACCCCACACAAUAUAUCCUAUGAUCAAACAUCAUCCGAAUGCAAAGCUCAUGAAAAAGCAAAGAUCAUUCACAUUGCACAAACACAAUGAGCAUCACACACCACGACCACCAUUACUACUCACUGAAGUGUGCACUCCUCCAAAGUUUUUGAAUAUACCACCUAUACACACUUAUCAUUUUUAGGUUCAACAUAUUAAGGUUAUGCCAACUACCAAUUUCUACCUAACUCUCUAAAAAAAUAUAAGUGAAGCAUAAAGAGUUUAAAGUGUUUCUAUUUAGACUAAUUAUCAUGACACUACAUAAGCUCUCCCAGAUAAUGUUGCUUAGGUGUGAUGAUUAUAAUGAUCAAUAAUCAAAAUAAGUAGAUGCUCAAAGAACAACACAUAAUAUAUGAAAGAAUAAAACCAUAGGUCCAACCGAGACAAAACGAUAGUUGUUGAAGAAGGGGGUUACCUUGGGCAUCCCCAAGCUUAGAAGCUUGGGAUAUCUUACAAUAAUUCUUGUGGGUGCCCUCGGCACCCCCAAGAUUGAGCGCUUGCAUCUCCUGAUUUCUCUCAUAUUACUCUCUCACCCGACUCAUAAAUAUUCCAACCACACAAAAUUUACUCAUAACUCAUGGGAUAGGUUAGUAUAAAGAACACUUCAAUCUAACUGCGCCUCACUGUAGACUAAUUAUAAAGUUGUAACCCAUCAUUAGCUACUGUAUGAUAACACAAUUUUAAAGUUCCCACACCCCUAUGGGAACAAUAAAAUGCAAACAUAAGUAACUAAAGACAAUCAUAACAACAAUAUGUCUAAGCAGAGCGAACAAGAGCAGUAUGUGAUGAAGUCAUGUACCUGGGGUAGGGUCAUGGACCUGUCCAAGGUACCCUCCCCCAGCGCAUCUUUAGAAGAAGCCGUCUUCCAGUCGAUCUAGAGGGACUCCACUCGACGGACUAGAAGACGCUCGAGGAACAUGAAGACACUCGACCAUGAAGACUCACUCGACCACCAGGAGUUCAAGAUCUACUCUGUAUCCAAACAGUCCGUAAUUAAGUAGUCUUUAUGGUCAUGAUGACACUUUAUGUAAGGCGUUACCAGUAACGCCUGGCCUUAAUGUACUUUAAACCCUCCGCUACGUGGGCUGGCUGGGGUCUUGGCAUCUUCUAUAUAAGCCACCCCCUCCACUGGCAGAAGGGUUCGCACCCCUGUAACUCUCACACAUAUAAUCUAGUCGACCGCCUCCGGGCACCGAGACGUAGGGCUGUUACUUCCUCCGAGAAGGGCCUGAACUCGUAAAACUCUUGUGUGCACAACUGCUCCAUAGCUAGGAUCUUGCCUCUCUUUAGUACCCCCCUACACUACUGUUAGACUUAGAACCACGACAGUUGGCGCCCACCGUGGGGCAGGUGUCUUAGCGACUUAUUGGAGAAGUUGCAAUUUUUCCGAUUCCCAUCAUCAUGGUUUCAGGUGGAGUUUUGCUUGAGGGCCGCGAGAUCCGUCUCGGCGCGCUCACAUUCGUCGCCGAUGACUCUGCCUGGUUGUAGGAGGCUCCGCUCGACAUUGACGCGCUCCCAGUCCGUGGAGCUACGCACUUUCGAGCGUGCACCCAUGGUGUCCUUCUGCGGCAACCGUCGACCCAGUAUCGACCGGUUUUUGUGUCAUCCUCCCUCCCAAUUUCCCACCGGCGUAAGCGCUCUGGUCGGUCGAGGCUUCAGCGGUGGGUGAGGCACGCGGUGUCUCACCAGUCGACCGCCGCCCAAGUCGCGGCAAUCGAGCCCGACGAAUCUCUCUACGGCCUAUUCGACCUGUCGACUGGCUCCGCGGAGACUGCAUCCGAGUGCGACAGCAGUGUUCCAGCGGCGGAGAUCCUGAUGGUCAACGGACCGCAUGUUCCCCCAGGCUUUCCCGGUGCCGAGGGAGGCAACGGCGGAGGCGAUCCAUCGCAGUCCACGAGGAAUACCUCCCCGAGCCCCUCAAUUCGCAGCAGAGGGAAGAGCUUCGCCGCCGGAACGUGGAUGCGCUUCACACUCCGAUUGUUGGAGAAACCCCUGAGGCUCGCGCCUUGGAGGACGCGCGCUUGGCCAACCUGGCCGAACGCACCCGACUGGAGAACCUUCAGCGGGCACUCGACGAGCACGCGCGGCAACGGAUUCUAGACUCCAGUCAACGCCAGCUCUUUCCACCUCCGACUCAGGUAUAUCGAACUCCGAUUCAGAAUCUAGCAGCUGCAGCCCGUAUAGCAGAAUCAAUUCAGCCUUCCCACUCAGAGGCUGGCAGAGGCUUGAUGCAGAUCAGAGAUUUGCUCCGGGCAGCAGGAGAUCAGAAUUCAGCUGUAUCGCAGUCGUGGAACAGGAUUCACAGCAGAUCCGUGGCAGCAAAUACGGUCCAGUCGGCUCAUAGCCCCAGAUCACCCCCGAGGCGUGAAGGGCGUGGUGACCGUCAUGAUCAGUACAGGAACCAUGAGCAGUAUGAUCACCGAUUCGAUCACAACGAUCGACGUCGAGUGCCUACUCCUCCCCCAAGGGGUGGAUCUUAUGUGCCUCGACAACAGGAUGAUAGACGCCAGCACAAUGGCGGGCGAAGAAUCCCAGUCGACUCCAGAGAACCAGGCUUUGAUGCGUGAUCCAUCAUCGUUCAAGGUCUGGUCGACCGGAACAGAGCUCACAGAGAGGGCAACGACAGAGAUGUACCCACCAGCAGCCGAGUGCAUGUCUCCAGACCAGAGUGUUUCAGCAGAGCCAUCCGAGCCACAGUGAUUCCUCCCAACUUCAGGUUGGCGACUGGAGUCAGUAAGUUCAACGGUGAGUCUAAGCGUGAUACUUGGCUUGAGGACUACCGAGUGGCUGUCCAGAUCGACGGCGGGAAUGACGAGGUGGCCAUGAAGCAUCUGCCUCUUAUGUUGGAAGGGUCAGCCAGAGCAUGGCUAAAUCAGUUGACACCCAACAGCAUUUACACAUGGGAGGACCUCUCCCGAGUGUUUGUCAGAACGUUCGAAGGAAUGUGCAAGCGACCAACAGGACUGACAGAGUUGCAAUCCUGUUUGCAGAAGUCGAAUGAGACUCUGAGAGAUUACAUCCAGAGAUGGAUCAUAUUGCAUCACACAGUGGAGAAUGUAUCUGAUCACCAGGCAGUCUGCGCCUUCAAGGAAGGCGUAAAGUACAGGGAGCUAAGCCUGAAAUUCGGUCGAACCGGAGACAUGUCUCUGAGUCGAAUGAUGGAAAUAGCCACCAAAUAUGCCAAUGGUGAGGAAGAGGAUCGGCUCCGGAGCAGCAAGCAUAAGUCAGUCGCCCAAGAAACCGGAGGAGGGAACUCCAGUCGGAAGCAAAAGCGGAAAGCCGAGCCAGCUGCUCCUGGAGAAGCCCUGGCCGUGACUCAAGGAAAGUUCAAAGGAAAGCCCAAGGGGCCUUGGAAUCCCAAAAAAGUAAAGGAUAAAGAAGGAAAUGACGUGAUGGAUUUGCCAUGUCACAUCCACACAAAGAAAGAUGAAGAGGGUAAUUUCAUUUACCCGAAGCAUACCACUCGACAGUGUCGACUUCUGAUACAACAGUUCCAGGGGAAACAGCCCAAGGACAAGGAAAAGGAGUCGAACAAAGCUAAGGACAAGGGAGAUAGUGACGAGGAAUACCCUCAGGUCAAUUCUACUCUGGUGAUUUUUGCUGACGUUGAAAGCAAAAGUCGACUGAAAGUUAUAAACCGAGAAGUGAAUAUGGUUGCUCCAGCAACACCAAAUUAUCUAAAGUGGUCUCAGACAACCAUCACAUUCGACCAGUCCGAUCACCCGACGCACAUAGCCACCCCUGGGAGGCAAGCUCUGGUGGUCGACCCAGUCGUUGAGGGCACUCGACUGACUAAAGUAUUGAUGGAUGGUGGCAGUAGUUUGAAUAUACUGUACGCUGAGACGCUGAAAGGGAUGGGCAUUCCGAUGUCCAGACUUAGUACAAGCAACAUGAGUUUCUAUGGAGUCAUUCCUGGCAAGAAGGCCGCGUCACUCGGCCAGAUUGCUCUUGAUGUGGUUUUUGGUGAUUCCAAGAACUUCCGCAAAGAGAAGCUGACAUUUGAGGUUGUAGAUUUCCAGAGUGCCUAACACGCUAUUUUGGGCAGGCUAGCUUAUGCAUGUUUCAUGGCUCGACCAUGUUACGUGUACCUCAAAUUAAAGAUGCCUGGCCCUAAAGGCGUGAUCACUAUUACUUGUAAUCGCAAGAAGGUAGAAGAGUGCUUCCAGAAAGGCUCAAAGAUCGUCGAUGCUCAGAUGGUGGCAGAAGAGUGGCAGGAACACCAGAGGAACGCAGAUCCGAGUGAUUUGUUGCGAGCCAAAAAGCCUGUCACGGAGUCAGCAUUCAAGUCAUUCGGUGAGACAAAACCAGUUCACAUCCACCCGACCGACCCCAACGCUGCUCCGACUCAUAUCUCCACAACACUCGACCCCAAAUAGGAAGAAGCGCUCAUCCAGUUCCUCUGUGAGAACUGAGACAUCUUUGCAUGGAAACCUUCUGACAUGCCGGGUGUACCCAGGGGGCUGGCUGAGCAUCGUCUAUGAGUCGAUUCAAAGGCAAAACCUGUCAAGGAACAUCUGCGACGGUCCGCCGUCCAGAAAAGGAAGGCUAUUGGCGAAGAGGUGGCUCGACUCUUAGCAACAGAGUUUAUCCGAGAGAUUUACCACUCUGAGUGGCUCGCCAAUGUUGUCAUGGUCCCCAAAAAGGACAACUCACUUCACAUGUGCAUUGAUUUUAAACAUAUCAAUCGGGCCUGCCCGAAAGAUCAUUUUCCUCUUCCCUGCAUCGACCAAAUAGUUGACUCGACUGCGGGAUGUGAGCGACUGUCUUUCUUAGACGCUUAUUCCGGGUACCAUCAGAUCCGUCUGUUUGGACCCGAUGAGAUCAAAACAGCUUUCAUCACCCCAUUUGGGUGCUUCUGUUAUGUCACCAUGCCAUUCGGCCUCAAGAAUGCCGGAGCCACGUUCAUGAGGAUGAUUCAGAAGUGUUUGCUCACUCAAAUCAGUCGGAAUGUGGAAGCAUACAUGGAUGACAUUGUGGUCAAGUCACGGAAAGGUUAUGACCUGCUGACUGACCUCGCUGAAACAUUUGCCAACCUCAGGAGGUAUGAUAUCAAGCUUAACCCAUCCAAGUGCACAUUCGGAGUUCCUGGUGGAAAGUUACUCGGUUUUCUCAUUUUCGAACGAGGAAUCGAUGCAAACCCAGAGAAAGUGAGCACUAUACUCCGAAUGAAAUGACCUGUGCGUGUGCACGAUGUUCAAAAGCUUACUGGUUGCUUGGCCACUUUAAGUCGAUUCAUCUCUCGUCUCGGUGAGAAGGCAUUGCCUCUUUACCGACUGAUGAAGAAGUCACACAAGUUCGAGUGGACUCCUGAAGCUGACUCAGCGUUUGCAGAGUUAAAAACCCUGCUUUCCACCCAGCCGGUGCUUGCUGCCCCGAUCAGCAAAGCGCCUUUGCUGAUUUACAUUGCAGCCACAGGACAAGUCGUCAGUACUGUACUUAUGGUCGAGCGGGAAGAAGAAGGGAAAGCCUUCAAAGUUCAACGCACAGUAUAUUACAUUUCUGAAGUCCUAACCCCAUCAAAGCAAAGAUGCCCUCAUUAUCAGAAGCUUGUAUAUGGGAUCUAUAUGACCAUGAAGAAAGUUGCUCACUACUUCUCUGACCAUACCAUCACAGUCGUCAGCGACGCCCCCUUAUCAGAGAUUCUGCACAACAUAGAUGCAACUGGCCGAGUGGCAAAAUGGGCGAUUGAACUUCUUCCCCCGGAUAUCAGAUUUGAGGCAAAGAAAGCUAUCAAGUCCCAAGCAAUAGCAGAUUUCCUCGCCGAGUGGACUGAACAGCAGUUACCGACCCAAGUUCACUUGGAACAUUGGACUAUGUUCUUCGAUGGCUCUAAAAUGUUGAAUGGUUCCGGUGCCGGGGUAGUGUUGGUUUCCCCCCGAGGAGAUAAGCUCAGAUAUGUACUCCAGAUUCACUUUGAUUCCUCCAAUAAUGAAGCAGAAUAUGAAGCACUCUUGUAUGGGUUGCGUAUGGCCAUUUCACUCGGCGUCCGUCGCCCCAUGGUCUACGGUGACUCGGAUUUAGUGGUUAACCAAGUGAUGAAGGAGUGGGACGUCAGAAGCCCAGCCAUGACUGGUUACUGCAAUGCAGUCAGAAAGCUGGAAAAGAAAUUUGAGGGAUUAGAGCUCCAUCACGUCCCCCGACUGAAAAAUCAAGCAGCCGACGACUUGGCGAAGAUAGGUUACAAAAGAGAAGCCAUCCCGAGUGGCGUGUUUUUUUCACACGCCGUCAGUACAAGAAGAUCCUUUCACUGAAGAAGCCUCGCAGCCAAAAAGCGCCAUAGAUCCGACUGAAGUCGAGGUCCCAGCUGUGGUCGACUUAAUCAUGGAAGUUCUGGUUAUUACUCCCGACUGGACAGUGCCCUAUAUCGCGUAUAUUCUAAAGAAAGAGCUCCCAGAGAAUGAAGAAGAGGCUCGAGAGGUCGUUCGUCGAUCCAAGGCCUUUACCGUCAUGAUGGGACAGUUGUACAGAGAAAGCACAACUGGAGUCAGCCAGAAAUGCAUAACACCGGAAGAGGGUCGAAUGAUUCUCAACGAUAUCCACUCGGGGACCUGUGGCCAUCAUGCGUCCUCUCGGACCAUUGUGGCUAAAGCAUACCGAGCGGGUUUUACUGGCCCAGAGCAAAUGAAAUGGCGAAAGAGAUUGUCGACAGGUGUGAAGGAUGUCAGUUCUACUCCAACAUGUCACAUAAACCCUCCUCAGCCUUGAAGACCAUCCCGAUCGUCUGGCCUUUCGUUGUUUGGGGUUUAGAUAUGGUCGGACCCUUGAGAACUGGCAGGAGCGGCUUCACCCAUGUACUGGUGGCAGUCGACAAGUUCACCAAGUGGAUCGAGGCCAAGCCCAUUAAAAAUCUUGAUGCUGGCACUGCCAUCAGCUUCAUCAGAGAAUUAAUAUUCAGAUAUGGAGUUCUGCAUAGCAUCAUCACUGAUAAUGGGUCAAACUUCGACUCCGAUCAAUUCAAAGCUUUCUGCGCUUCCCAAGGCACACGAGUCGACUAUGCUUCAGUCGCCCACCCCCAGUCGAAUGGACAAGCAGAAAGAGCAAAUAGCCUAAUUCUCAAAGGACUGAAACCCCAGUUGAUGCGCGACCUCAAGCACGCAGCAGGCGCGUGGGUCGAUGAACUCCCAUAAGUUCUUUGGGGAUUGAGGACUACCCCAAAUCGGUCGACUGGGAGGACUCCAUUCUUCCUGGUCUACGGGGCUGAGGCGGUCCUGCCAAGUGACCUGCUUCACAAUGCGCCGCGAGUCGAGCUCUACUCUAAAGCUGAAGCAGAACAAGCCCGGCAGGAUGCAGUCGACCUCCUAGAAGAAAGAGAGUUGGCCAUGAUCCGAUCAACCAUCUAUCAACAAGACUUGCAUCGAUUCUACGCCAGAAAUGUGAAGAGCCGAGCCUUCCAAGAAGGAGACUUGGUCCUCCGAGUGGACCAACAGAAGCCACACAAACUCGCCCCUACUUGGGAAGGCCCCUUCAUUGUUACCAAAGUUCUCCACAAUGGAGCAUACCAUUUGUACAACGUCGAUCGCCAGAUUGACGAGCCACGAGCUUGGAAUGCGGAUCUGCUCCGCCCCUUUUAUACUUAAGUAUUCACUCGAAUGAGUUGUAAUAAAAGUACUUCUGUAAUUUAUUUAUCAAAGACAAGAGUUUUAUAAUUUUCCCAGUGAUUGUUGUUAUCUUCUUCCACAUAAAACAGUCCCCCCAGCGGGUGGCUUAGCUGCGAAUCCGUUUCGCCUAAGUUUGUAAAAGAAAAUCCUACCGAGUGGUAAGCCAGCCUUCCACUCGGAGGCUUAGCUGCGAAUCCGUUUCGCCUAAGUUUAAACAAAAUCCUACCGAGUGGAGAGCAAACCUCCCACUCGGGGGCUUAGCUGCAGCCUAGUGCUCGCCUAAGUUUUUGAAAAUCCUACCGAGUGGUAAGCCAGCCUUCCACUCGGAGGCUUAGCUGCAACCCAGUGCUCGCCUAAGUUUUUGAAAAUCCUACCGAGUGGUAAGCCAGCCUCCCACUCAGGGGCUUAGCUGCAGCCCAGUGCUCGCCUAAGUUUUUGAAAAUCCUACCGAGUGGUAAGCCAGCCUUCCACUCGUAGGCUUAGCUGCAGCCCAGUGCUCGCCUAAGUUUUUGAAAAUCCUACCGAGUGGUAAGCUAGCCUUCCACUAAGGGGCUUAGCUGCAGCCCAGUGUUCGCCUAAGUUUUUGAAAAUCCUACCGAGUGGUAAGCCAGCCUUCCACUCGGAGGCUUAGCUACAACCUAGUGUUCGCCUAAGUAUAAAAUACAACGUGCGCUCCGCAAGGAGGACGAGGCGCAGGACGACUCCUGCCUUCUCCUUCCGAGCUACGCCACAAAUACAACGUGCGCUCUGCAAGGAGGACGAGGCGCAGGUCGACUCCUGCCUUCUCCUUCCGAGCUACGCCACAAAUACAAUGUGCGCUCCGCAAGGAGGAUGAAGCGCAGGUCGACUGCUAUCUUCUCCUUCGGUGGUACACCAUAGAAAUCCUACCGAGUGGUGAGCAAACCUCCCACUCGGGGGCUUAGCUGCAGCCCAGUGCUCGCCUAAGUUUCUGAAAUCCUACCGAUUGGAGAGCAAACCUCCCACUCGGGGGCUCAGCUGCAGCCCAGUGCUCGCCAAAGUUUCUGAAAUCCUACCGAGUGGAGAGCAAACCUCCCACUCGGAGGCUUAGCUGCAGCCCAGUGCUCACCUAAGUUUCUUAAAAUCCUACCGAGUGGUGAGCAAACCUCCCACUCGGGGGCUUAGCUGCAACCCAGUGCUCGCCUAAGUUUCUUAAAAUCCUACCGAGUGGUGAGCAAACCUCCCACUCGGGGGCUUAGCUGCAGCCCAGUGCUCGCCUAAGUUUCUUGAAAUCCUACCGAGUGGAGAGAAAACCUCCCACUCGGGGGCUUAGCUGCAGCCCAGUGCUCGCCUAAGUUUCUUAAAAUCCUACCGAGUGGCGAGGAAGCCUCCCACUCGGAGACUUAGAUGCAGCCUAGUGCUCGCCUAAGCGUGACGAGUACAAGUCGAUUGUGCUUCGUACCGACCUGCAAAAGAGCAUCACAAGCACUAGUAUAUAUUCCAAGCAAAAGAUGAUGAUCGUUCGAAGGCAGAAGCAAACAUAUUCGACGGCAAACCUAAAUUCAGAUAAUGUCUUACAGAUCCAGAAGUGCUCAGGCACCAAGCUUGUUAAAGUUUGUCGGUUACAAAAACUACUCGGCAUUCCGAGGCAAAUUUAAAGUAUCAAGCAUAGAAGUUUUUUACCCCUCCCGAGGAGGGCUGGAAGGCGCAACAAACUCGCCCAGGUCGAUUCCAUCUGCGAUCCGAGUGGCAGCAGUGAUGAAGGUCUCCAUGAAGGAUCGGAAGUCAUGCUUCUUGGUAUUGGCCACCUUGAGAGCUGCCAGCUUGUCUUCUCGCGCAUCCUUGCAGUGGACACGGACAAGAGAUAGAGCAACGUCGGCACCGCACCUGGCAUAAGACUUCUUCCAUUCUUGCACUCGACUUGGAACUUCGUUCAGUCGAGUCAUCAGGGACUCAAGGUCAUUCUGAAGUGCUUCUCCUGGCCAGAGCACCGUGUCGAUGUGUGACGUCGCAACCUUCAGCCUUGCAAGAUAGUCAACAACGGCAGCAACGCGAGACUCGAGUCGGAGCAUGCUCAUGGCAGUUUCAUCCUUCACAGGAGAGUUGAUGGGAUCCAGGCUCGUCUCCAGUCGACCAGUCUCCUCCUUAAAGUUCUGGCAGAACUCUGUAGACACAACCUCAAAGUUAAGGCAACAGUUUUGUGGCGAGGUCAAAAUUAAAAAGCCUGUCAGAUACAAAGGGUUACCUUCAAGCAUGAGGAAUAGCUUCUUGGCGAGUCCUCCCAGAUAAGCCUCCAGAUCAUUCUUCUUUCCCACCAGUUCGCUAGUUUGUCACUCAGGACCAUCUUGUCAUUCUUCAGUUGAGUGACCUCCUAGUUGGCCACGUCGAGAGCAGCUUUCAGAUUAGUGUUUUCCUCUUCAAGUUUUCCGAUCGAAGCCAACUUUUCUUCUGCGAGCCUGGUCUUCUCGGAAGCUGCUUUCUGCGCCUCAGCGAGGUCAAGAUCCUUCUUCUUCAGAGAAUCCCUCAGUUUAUCUGUAAAAUCACAGUAAGAUCAGACUCGGGGAUAGACAAGAAGCAAAGGCAGUCGUCAAGAUUCUCACCAAACAUACCUUUUGCCUCCUCCUUCGCCUUCGUGGAGUUCUCUUGGACGAGCUUCAUAUCAAGUUUGAGUUGGAUAUGCUUGUUCUCCAAUUCAGUAUAACGAGCUGAAAGCUCGCAAGAUUUCUGCAAAAAACCAAUCAACAGACGUCAAAGAUAGGUCACUUCCGAGUGACUAAGAGAAAAAUUGUAGUAUUUCUAAGACUACAGCUGAAUCUAAACAUUCAACUGUAGUCUCGGGGACUACACCCAGUGGGUGCACUCAGCGUGCCCCCACUAGUUUCAUCAGCUAGACUCAGAGUUGAUCAGUCGACCAAAAAAAAA
rnacentral:lncRNA from 1 species